rnacentral:lncRNA from 1 species
GUGGGCCAAGUGAUAUUUAAUUCAACCAAUCUUAUCAUGCCACAUCAAUUUGUACAAAAUAAGUUUGUACAAGAGUUUGUGACUGUAUCAUUACUCAAUAAUUAAUACCAUUACCAUCCAACACUGCAGGAUAUAUAUAUACAUAACAGAUUUACGGCUGCACUGGAACUUGAUUGUAAAGAUUCAUUUGGGAUGACUGAUUUAGAUUCGCUGCUAAGUUAUUUCACGUGGGAGAAUUAAUUAAUGGGUCCUCGAAAUAAAUAAUUGUCAAUAAGAUUUUUCUAUAAUGAUGUAUGUACUUUUACAGCAUUAAUAGUGCAGUUAUUAUAAACCCUUUGAUUUGAGUGAUUUAAUCUUAGUCAUUCAUUUAAUAUAAUAAAUAAAUAAGUAAUUAAUUAAAAGCUAGCAAGUAACUUGUAAGUUGUAGGUAAAUAUUAAUUUUUUUAAUUUUAAAUUAAUAUUAACUUUAUAGCAUUUAAUAUAAGUUAUCAGACGAGAUGCAUGUAAUCCAAGUUGAUCAUCGAGUUCAUGAUCAUGACCCUGCUGCUUGGUCAAUUGAGAUCUUUCCGACAGUACCACAUGAAAAUUCAUUUUGUCGAGGAGCUGCUGAAGUUGUACAGGAAGAAACAGAAUCCAAUCUCUCUAGCCUGACCGGUACAUUUCUCCAGGUCGCCGCCCACCAGGGUCUGGCCGCGUUGGCAGUCGAAUUUGGCGGUGGCAUUCUCUGCUGGAGAACGGGAAAAUUCUCUUGUGCUCCGUGGAACUCUGUAGUGCAGCUGGAUUCAUUGCCUGCUGUGGUGGUUAUAUCUUAGAACGUAGAGGCAAAGCUAAAUUGGCUUGCUCAGAUUAUGACAGGAGUAGGAGGUGUUGCCACUGCCAGUAGAUUUAUAAAUGGUAUGAAAAAAACUACAUUAAUAAGUGUGCAAGAUCAUGUGAGAAGGAACUCGUCGAGCUGGAGAUGAUCAAAUCAAGGAAGGCAUUGAAGGGCGAGGCAGAGAGAAGGAGAACAAAAUCAGAGGCUGAGAUGACUCAGAUGACGAUGCAAACUCAAUUGCAGAUCGUCCUUUGUUGAGGGGAUGAAUUCGAGUCGAAAGAGAAAGCGCGAUGAAGAAGAUGAAUCACGAGUUUCUCAGAGGUAAAAUUCUUGAACAUGUCAAUGGUUAAUCAUUCAGGAACUUGAGACACUCUUCAAGAAUCCAAUUUCCUUCAAGAACAUGAGAGAAAAAACCGAUAGUUAAAUUUAUGAGAUAAAUAAAGAGAUUGUAUUUUAUCAAAAUUUAAUUUCUUUUUUUUAAUCUAAAACAACAUUUUCAACCGGUUUGUUAACCGAUUAUAGCAUUUUUUAAAUGAUUAAAUUUUUCAUUAAUAAAAAUAAUGUGUACCGUUGAUUAGAUUUAAUGACAUAUAAUUCUUACACUAUUGAUAUUGUAAAAAAAAUUACGGUAUCAUAGAGAGACCCCAAUAGGAAGACAAGCAAAGUAAUAAUAAAUAAUUGCACGGCCGCGAUUUGCUAAUUGCUCUCACAUCAGAAAUUUGGCAUUUCAGAAGAGAGAUUAGUCCAUUCGGUAAUUAUUCACUUUUGAUGUGCAUGUCGUUGAUUAUGCAGUUAAUUUUAGUUCAGAGAUAGCUGCAUAUAUAGAUAUCUUGGAGAGUUUGACAUUGAAAGUAAAAUUUUUAUAUAAUAAUAUUGUUUGGAAUAAAAAAAUAUUAUUUUAAUAAAAUUAUUUAUAUAUUAAUGAAUGAACAAUUUAUUAAUUUAUUGAUAAAUGAAUAUCUAUUAAUUUAGAAAGAGACUUUUUUAAUUUUAAAAGAGUUUUAUCGGUACAUGUAAAUACUUAUUUACAAAAGAACACAAUAUCAAGGUAUUAUGAAGUUUUAUUAAAUUAUUUUGUCAUUUUUAGUUUCAAAUCAUUAGAAUUUUCAUAUCUUUUCUUCUUCAUGGAUUCUCAUUUUAAAAUGAGUAAAAAGAUCUGCAUUGGCUGAAAAAAAAAAUUACUAAGUGUGGUGCAUGCUCAGCAUAAAAUUAAGAAUGAGGUUGAAUUCAAUUUAGAAAAUAAAUAAAAAAUUAAAACUUUAGAUGCCUAUUUUAUGAAGAGUUGAAUUCAGAUAAUUGAAGUUGUAAGAAAAAACUCCUUUAUCUUAUAAAUUUUAGAUUUUGUUCAUUAUUAACUUUGUAUUAAGUUCAUAAUUAUUAGAUAAUAUUUUCAUUGGGCACUACCGGCCUAACAACUUAAAAAAUGGAUCAAAAAAUUAUUAUCUUUUGCCUUUUGUGAAAUUAUUAAUUUCGUACACUAGCCCAAGAUGGGACCAGAGAAUUUUUAUUUUUUAAUCUAGAAUAUUAAUUUAUUGCACAUUUAUUUAUUGAGGUUUUACCUAUAAAGCUUCAAAAAAUAACAUAAUUGAGAAUUAGAAAACAAUAUUAUUUUAGCCUAGUUAUUUAUUUAUCAAUAAAUGAAUAAUUUAUUAAUUUAUCAACAAAUAAAUAUUUAUUAAUUUGGAAAAGAUUCCAUAUUUUAAUUACUUUGUCAUCUUGGUACGUGUAUUGUCUCUUUGACCAAGAUUAAUGUAUGAAUUUAAAAAAUUAUAUAUAAACAUGUAGAUAGAAGUCCAAUUGAUGUAAGUAGAUUAUACAUAGAUAUAAAAUUGAUGUAUGUACUUUUCAAAUUUAAUAACCUUGAAGAUAAAAUAUUUUAGGUGCUCAAAACCUAUAGAAUAUGAACUCUAUAAAUACAACGGACACUUUUUUUAUUUUUUUUAAAUAACACUAUUUUUAUUUUUAGUCUCAAAUAAUUAGAUGCAUAUAUAUUUUGGAAAAUAGUUGAAUUGAGAAAAUUGAAGUUAUCAAAAAAAUUAUUAAUAUUAUGAAUUUUAUAUGUUAUUUAUUAUUUGUAUUUUUGUAUUUGAUUAAUUAUUAAUUUAUAUUUUCGUUGGGCAUAAAGGAUUCAAAAAUAAAUUAUUGUCUUAUACAUUUAGUGAAAUUAUUAAUUUAGUAUAUUUGUCAAGUUGAGACUGGAAGAUUUUAUUACUUAUUAAAGGUUAUUAAUUUAUCGAAAAAUCAAUUAUCAAGAUUUUACGGUAUUCAAAAUAUAAAUAAAUAAAUAGUAAUGAAAGCUAUAAUUCAAUUUUCAUCUUUUAUGCUAAUUGAAAAUUUAGUCUUUUGAGUUUUGAUUAUUUUUACCUGUAAUUAUAAGAAUCAUUCUUUGUUUUCUUGCUGAUUUUUUUGGAUUUUUUAAUAUUAUAAAAACAUAGCUUUAUUCCCAUCUAAAUUCAUAUACAUACUCAUUGAUAAAGUUUUAGGCCAAUUUGAAAUUGUUGUAGCUGAUAAAAUAAGCAAUAUUUAUUGUGCUGAUGAAUAUAAACCAUAUUUAGAAUAAUUUUUGGGAUUAAAAAAAAUUAAGAAAGAAUUUUAAGAACAUAAAAAAUCCUAGUGUUUAUACGAUAUAAUAAACAUAUCUUCUCAAUUAUAAUAGAUAAUAAUUGAAUUAAUAAUUGUUUAUUUAUCAUUUUUAGUUAUUUCACGUAAGGAUAAUACUGUAAUUACAAAAUAACUUAAACAAGUGGUAUGUUUUUUUAUGCAAAAGCUGGGGGGAAUAUUCGUCAUAUUUAAAAAAUUUAUUACAAAAUUUAUGCAGUCAUACACGAGUGGUAUAAUUACACGUCAGCAUUGAGGUGGAAGAACUGAUACUUUUGGAGGAGAAGAUAGGAAAGUGGGAUUUGGACUGGGAACGUUCGGAAAAAUGGAAGGAGGCUUUGGGUUGGCAUUCAACUCCGUACUACAAGUCGCUCGUUUACGCUUACCAUCAAACGACAAGUCGUUUUGCUUUCCCCUUCCCCGGGCUCGAAUCAACACAGAGCUGAAAGAACUCAGAGUUUGCACGAACCGCACUUGUCGCAGGCAGGGCUCCAUGCAAAUUCUUGAAACCCUGUCGUCUCUGGCCCCGCCGGAAGUCGCUGUCAAGUCGUGCGGCUGCUUGGGCCGGUGCGGCGCCGGACCGAACCUCGUGGCGCUUCCCGACGGCGUCGUGGUCGGCCACUGUGGGACCCCGGCGAGAGCCUCUGAGAUAUUGAUGGUAUUGUGUGGAAUAAAGAGUGAUCAUGAUGCUGCAAAGAAUCUGGAAGCGCUUGCGUUGAGGAAGAGAGCCGAGGCUGAAUUUGAAAAGGCUAAUUUUUCGGAAGCCGACCGCUUUCUCUCUCAGGUAACGUGUGCCCAAUGGGCCGCAAUCAGACGAAAUAAUAACAUUAUGUAGGCUGUAGCAAAAUUUUAAAAAGUAUAGGGGGCUCAGGUAAAAUAAUCGUUGACAUAGUCGUGUUAUUUUUACAUGAAUCGCUUGCUCUCUCAAAUGUUCAAAUCUACGGAUGCCAUGCUUGCCAAUUGCUGCUGCAGGCCAUAGAGUUAAAACCAUUUGGUGGCAUCCAUGUUUUAUAUAAAGACAGGUUUGUACAACUUAAUUUUUUUCAUCAAUGGAAGUCUUCUUACAGUACUUAUGGGAAAUUUUUGAUUUUAUGGCCACAGAUGAUGUGAGUCGAUUUUACUUUUUAGAUAAACUGGGGUGAUGUAAUGUUUAGAUAAAAUGGUAUCUGCUGUAGGCUUGUUUAGAUGACAGAAAUUAUGGCAUCAAAGCCUGUACAUAUCUAGCUAACUCAUGAGUUCCUAAGUCCCCUUUUUUAUAUUCCACUUGUUAUGCUUAUUCUUCUCUUACGCAGCUUGCGUUUUAUAUAGCUUCAUAUGCAUAUUUGGUUCAUUGAAUAAUGGCAUUCGCUUUUCGAGUCGUUUUAUCUGAAUUUUUAAUGGUUUCAGAAAUUUGCUUGGCUGAACCUUUCUUCUUUUGAUUGGUCAAAUCCCAUAUAACUGGGGAUUUUUGUUUUAUGAAGCAUUUUUUGACAUCAAUGACUGCAGAUGAUAUAUUUGAUUUACCCUUGUGUAAACCUCAGUUCUUGAUUUUGCAGAUUUGCUAGUUUAAGUUCCAAUAGAAAUGCUUAAUCUGGACAGAUGAGAUGAUUUUUUCGAAGCUGAUCCCAGCUGUAGCUAAAGACCUGAUCAACCAUCAUAGUCUUAAACUUGAUUAGUUGUUGCCUCUAACCCAUAACUUGUUUUGGGGUAAGAGAAUGCUGAGUUUUAAUUUUAAUUUUUCCAAGCUUCUUCAUUAGAUUGCCAAUACUUUCUCCCUUAUAUCAUUUGAUGUUGAGUUCAAGAUGAAGCGGGUAGAAAUUAAUUUGCUUGUCAAUGAUAUGAUGACUUUUGUUAAAGGAUAUUCACCAACUUUUCUGGCACAUCUCAUUGCGUUUUACAAGAUAAUUAUCACGAAAUGUGGGUUUCUAGAGCUCCCUUGUUUGGUAUAAACAGAAGAAAUAGCUGCUGGGUACAGACUUUAUCUCUCUUUUCCUUGCCUCCUGCAAUUACAUUGACCCUGGGAGACGUUCAAGUAUUCAAAGGCUUCAAAGUACCCCAGACCUUUUUCCCUAGAGAUGUUUCUUACAAAUCGAACUUAUAUUUGCAUGAGAGUUAACCAAUCAAAAUCAGAAAUAUUCAGCCAAAGCCAAUUUCUAGAACCACAAAUAGCAUUAGCAAAAAAAUUUUGUUUGUUUUCUUUUGUGCAUUUCUUUUUAUUUUGUGCAUAUACAUGUCAUGUUGAGGAAAUGAUGACUUUUGAGAGACGAUGUUAGGAAAUUCAAACUAAGUAACAUCUGGAUUCAAUGUGGCUUCAAGUUCGGGCUAUUUCCUUUGAAGCAUUUGACUUUCCCAAUCAUGGUGUUGGAACCUUUCCCUGCUUGUCCUUGACAGAAAAAAGCCACCCAAAAGCUUAAUUUGUUAGGUAGAAUAGCACAUUUGGUUUAGUGCACGAGGUUAAAAUAUUGCAAUUGAUAUAUUUCAUUAACUAUAGUCUUCCUUUUGUAUUAAUAUCAGCAAUUGGCUUUAAUGACAUUUAUUUUCUGUAAAUGUUACCACAACGUACUCUUCAAUUAAUGGGGUUUGCUAUGAUAGAAAAGUUUUAAGGACCUUCUUUCCAUUCAGGUGUCUUGCAAGAUUGACCAUGGGCAAUUUUUCUGCUGCUCUUGAAGAUGUCAGAGAAGCCCUUGAAUUAGCGCCAAACUACACUGAGGUGAGAAACCUUCUUACUCUAAAAGUUGGAGAAGACACUUGCACCUCAUAUACCAUAUUACUGCAGGCAUGCAAGAACAUAACAUCUAAUGGAUCUCAUUAUGUAUCUUGGUGAUAUGUUUACUGAUUUGAGCUUUGCAGGCUUACAUCUGCCAAGGUGAUGUGUUUUUGGCUAUGGACCAAUAUGAUGCAGCUGAAAAGUCAUAUUCCACAUGUUUACAAAUAGAUCCUUCUAUCCGUCGAUCCAAAUCAUUCAAGGUAUCUUCCACUUACUAAAGAAUAAAUUUGUGUGGUAAAUAUGGAUAGUUUAUGCUCUACUAUCAACUUGUACAUUAAUCUUGGACAUAAAUGCAAAUGCAAGUGUUCUAAUGCAAGUAUUGUGCUGGAGUUUGCUAUGCUAGUAAGGGAAAUCCUUGCAUAAUUGCAACCCUCGGGCUUCAGCUCAAGUGAUUUAAAAGGGUGCCAAUGGUGUAUAAAACAUCUUCAAGUUGAAUCUCGCCUAUGUGAAAAAAAGUAAUAUCAUAAUUUAUGUGAGUUGCCUAAAUGAAAUGUGUAACUUUAAUUCGAAAUUGAUUGUUACUGUUUCUAUGGAAGUCAAUUCAGUCAAAGACUUAAACAAUUUGGCCCUCCUCUCUCUCUCUCUCUCUCUCUCUCGCCCUUUUCUGUUUCUCCUUUUUAAAGUGAUAAUUUCUUUUCUUUUUUUUGUGCAGACACGGAUUGGAAGACUCCAAGAAAAACAGACUGCUGCAAAUAAGCCUUAAAAUGUGCUGCAAGAUUGUUGGAAUGUGUACAUGAUAUUUCUAUUAUUUCCAGGUUUUGUCCUUUCUAUCGUAACCUAUUCUUCAGUUCUUAAUUGAGCACCUUAUUUUACAUGGCAACUGUAAUACUUAACUUGAAUAUAGGGGUUUAAGGAUGGUAUCACAGCAAAUAGUUUGCACUCUUGUCAUUACUUAUUUGAUCCUUUAGUUUCUUUUAUUUAUUAUUAUUAUUUUUUUAACCCACAUUUAUUUUCAAGCUAGUUUGGCAAACUUCUUUUCCUUAUCUUGCUAUUGACAUUGUGCAGUUAAGGUUAACCCAUGCCUACGUUUAUCCUAAUCACGGGAAGAUAAACCUAGCGAAAGCAGCGAGUUCUUUACAGAGGCUCAUUGAGGUCUUGCUGUCGUUGAUUUCUGUUUUGCUUUUGUCAAGUAAACCAUACCCAGUUCAUGAACGUGAGCAGCAUUUUAGUACAAAGAUAUCUAGUUUGUGCAGAUUUGUUCCUUUCUUGCUUAAAAAACCAUGAAGGAGGCAACAUUCAUGGGUAUUUUAAAAAUAUAAAAAAAAUUGAGGUAUGAUGGAGAGACAGUAUUGACGCACUACUGUAAUGAACUGGGAUAAUUUGGAUUUUGCCUUUUUGAUAAUGAAAUCUAGAAUAUUGUUGGAUUUAGUUUUGUAUUUAUACGUUUUCUUGCUUCUUGGCUUGGCUGUCAUGUGUGUAUUUUGGGAUUUAGUUUGUACUUUGCAUUAUCCUUCUUUUUGGCUUGGUUGUCAUGUGUGGUAUCCUUGAUGGCAGGUCUAAAAAAUUAUACUUAAAACAUGUAUCACUUUAGAUUUAGUCUGUGCAGAUUUAUUCCUUUCCUGCUUACAAAACCAUGGAGCAGGCAACAUUCAUGGGUAUUUUUUAAAAAUAAAAAAUUGAGGUAGGUGGUGCAUCUAUGAUGGUAUGAUGGUAUUUAGGCACUACUAUAAUGCACUGGAUAAUUUGGAUUUUGCUUUCUUGAUAAUGGAAUCUAGACUAUUUUGGGAUUCCGUUUGUAUUUGUAUAUUUUCUUGCUUCUUGGCUUGGUUGUCGUGUGUGGUAUCCUUGAUGACAGGUCUAAAAGGUUAUACUUAAACAUAUAUCACUUUUGUAACCAGAGACAGAGUAAAGUAGUCAUAUAGGCAAUAAGAAAAUGUAAAAGACUACAAUGUUAUUAAUUGAUUACAUGACUGAUGAACUAGCAUAAGACUUAUCAGUAGUACAUGGAAAACAAAUAUAUAAAGACUGAACAAUGAUAAUAUAAUCACCAAAUAGCGACACUCAUACCUUCCUGUUUUAGCUUUAACAGCUUUCUUAUUUUUCUAUGAUGGACAUCUAGACAGCAUUUUGCUUUAUUCAUGCAGUAAUCCAGGCACUAUUUUCUUCUUUAUAUAUCUAAGGAGCUACAUUGAUGCUCAGCUUCUGGCCAUUUUCACAGUGAUCACCUACUCCACAAAUGUACCAACUUCGGCCAACCUCUGAUAAAACCACUGAGUCACUGCCACUAGCAAACAGACUUAUGUAUGGAUCUUUUAUGCAAUCUUCAUAUGCAGUUGAAUUCACUUGCAUCACACUGUGCACAUGUUCUUCAUAGUUGAACACUGUCCAAAAACAACAACGAAAAUUAGUGCUGGCAAUCUUCAUUAGGAAAUCAAAAACUGGGAGCAUGAAAGUUGGUACUGUACAUAUGUGAUUCAUUUAUGUUUGUUUGUAUGUACUCCAUUAGAUACAUACUUACCAAGAACAUCACCAACGUGAAAUUCUUUUCUCUGAGUCCAGUUGUUGGAGUCAACGAAGAGAGACCAGCCAUCCCUGUCUCCAACAAUGUGGGUUGCUCCUCUUACUUGAAGCAUGUUAAGGAAUGCAGCAAGAACAAGGCAGAGCAUGAUCAUUUUGGAAUUUUGGUAAGCUUGGAAAAGCAUAUCCUUCCCUUAAACUGAGAUAUGUUGUUAUGGAUCUGUAAAUGGUUAUCUUUACAAUAAUAUUCGUAACAUGGGUGGGCAGGCUCACAAUAUUCUGGUGUUUAUCUGAUUAGGUAGUCAUGUAAAGUAUGUUAGCUAGUUUUCUCAUAUCACGAUAAUUGGCAGUAUACACAGCUUCAGUUCCUGAUGUUCAACAACAAUCCAUUUGGGCAACAUAAGGAAAGCUGUUUACCUUCUUAAAAAUUUGGCUGCUUUUGAUGUUGCGAACGAUUUAUAUACAUACUCUUUUUGGUAAGGGCACGUCGCCAGUCUUAUGGGGCGUAAGAGUUGUAUGGGAUGCUCAUGUUUUUCCAAAAUCACGAACUUUUAACUCUUUGUACAAAGAGUGUGUGUGUAAUCACUCUUAGGUGCGGGGCACACUUAUUUUUCUUAAUGUGGACACGCGGUUAAGGAUUGCAACUUAAUAGAGUUAAUUUCUGAUAUAUUAUAAAAUCGUGCAGUUUACUAGCACCAAAAAUUGAUUCUAUUAAACUAUAUGGCUUAUCAAUUUGUCCACAUAAAAAAAAAAAAAUGACGCACCCGCACUAAAUAAGGAUUGUAUAUAUAUUUGAGGCAAUAUGCAUCUCUCUAUUUAAAUAAAUUUAUUAAAUUGUCAUAUUCUAGCAACCUUCCUUGGUGAGCAUUGUGCAAAUUUUGUACUUCACAACUGAGAAACCUUGUUAAUUGUAUCAUUUUAAGGAUAUUAACCCAAAAUCUUCGCUAAAAUUGAUUCUUACUAGAUUUAGCUUUAUAUCUAAAGAUAUGAAUUAUUUGUUAAAAAAAGUUUGUUUCUUUGUUGAUGGCUAUGCUGUUCAAGAAUGCAACUUGUCAGAAUUUUAUGAAAAUUAAAUUUUCAUCUGUUCUCUUUUUUUUUUUUCUUGUAAAACAAAUGCUUCAAAUCAUAAAUUGUGGUCAAUUAUGCAAAUUGCAAAGCAUUUGUUACAUAACUUGCGAAGUAAUCUUAUUCUGAGAUCAAUUAUGUGGUCAGGAAUUAUUAGAGGUUGAAUAAAUUAGUUUUUUAAUACAAAGUCAAAUUUAACCAGAGAUAUUUUGAAAUUCUAUUGAUAAUGUCAUUCUAAAGGAAGUGUUAAAAAGUCGCUAAAAAUAAAUGUUGAAGUUGUAAUACUUGUUUGGUAUCGUUUAUUUAAUGGUAAAAAAUUCAAACUUUGAGCUUUAGAAGUAAAGAUUGAAAAGUUUUUUUUAAAUAUUAAAGUAUUUAUUAGUAAAUUUUUUUGAGUGAAAUUUUUGAAGGUUAAAUAAUUUAUUUUUCAUCUACUAGCAAAGUUUAAACUUUGGAAUUUUAGAAAUACAGGUUGAAAAGUUUUUUUAAAAUAUUAAAGUAUUUAAAAUAUAUUUUAUUUAUUUGACAAUCUUUUUUCAUUUCUUUCAUAACAUAACUUUAAUAAAUUUGUUUAUUAAAAUAAUUUUACAAUUUUUUAUAAAAACUCUCAUUAAUAACUAAACAAAUAAAAUCUUUUUGGUGAAAGCUCUAUUUUUAAAAAUUUACUUUGAUAAACUCUAUUUAAAAAACUAUUACCAAGCGAAACUUAUAUAUUAUUUCAAUUUCAAGAUUUAUUAACAAACUACAAUAAUAAAUCUUAUAAAUUAAACUAAUUGAUUGGCAUUGACUAAUCACGACCAUUUUGCAAUUCUUAACAUGGCACAAAAGAUAUGCAUGCUUAAACUUUUAGCAAAAGGUACUUCAAUUUCAUGUCUUAAUUGGCUUAAUAUUCGAGUCCCAAGAAAAAAUAAAAUAAAAAUAGAGGACUCGAAUUAAACUUGCAUCUCAAAAACAACAUUCGUGCUUACAAUGAUGAUAAAAAACAUCGAAUACUAUUAUAAAGCACAUGAUAAUUAUUAAUUAGUGACUCUUCAUUUGAAUACAAAUUUUUAUAUUUCAAUUUUGUAAGCAUAGAAUUACUCUUCCAUUUAUUAUUAAUUUUUCCUCAAAAAUUAUUUGUUGAUAUCUCUUGAUUUAGGUUUAAGUAAACGAAGGCAAAAUAAGUUCCACCUGUUUAAGAGUCUGUCUGAUAUGUUGUAGAAUGUAACAAUUACAUAUAGACACUAGACAAGUAUUAUAUACAAGUCAUAUACUAUUGCAUAUUUAUAUUUUAUAUUAUAAAUGAGGAGAAAAUCUUUGGAUCCAAGUAUUACACGCAUUUGAAUAAAAUUUGAUGUUUAGAAUUACUCUCUUUCAUAAUUUAAUGGUGUUUCAUGCAAUAUCUCUUGUGUUCUACCAUUACCUCCCCAUUAUAGAAUUAAGAUUUUCUACUAAUCUUCAUUAGCUUUGUUGAAUCUCUUCACUUUUGUAAGUUAGUCAUCAUGCAUAGUCAAGAUUUAUUCUUCAACGAUGAUAGUAGCAUUUUAUUCUAUUUUUUUUGUUAUUCCUUUUUUAUGAUCUUUAUAUAGCAUCAAGAGUGACAAGAAAUUAUGUUUCCACAUAUUUAUCUUCAUUAAUGGAAAAUAAACAAAAUACUCCAAAUACAAAUUAAGCACUUACUAAAUGAGAAAGAUAAAAGUCACUAGCAACUAGCAUCUUAACUAAUAUCAUUAGCCCUAGUUUAGUUUUGGCGCAUGCAAUAAUAUGAUAAUAUAAUCAACUACAACUUGGAAGCCCACAAUUGAAAAAAUCUGCCUUCUUCACUCUUUCCCACCAAUUUGAUGAUCCCUUUUUCUUCUUCAACUUAAUUUUCUCAAAAGAUUGAAAGCAGCUUUCCAAAGUGACUUGGGCACUCUUCUCCUUCACAUAGCUGCUGCUGCUGCUGGUGCUGUUGCUGUUGCUCCAGCUGUUCUCAUAUUCUUUCACUUGUUGCUCUCUGUUCACAAGCAUCUGAUAGUACUCUUUAUUCCUCUUUUCCAGCCCAUAUAUUUGUUCCUGAAGAUCCUCUAUUUUCUGGCUAAGUAUGCAAACCCUAUAAUCUUCUCUCAUUCUCAACACACAUUUAGCAAGCUCACUAGCUUUUCUUCUCAUAAACAUGGCUUCAGAUGCCAGCCCUUUGUUCUCUUCCAUUACUGCACUCACUUGAUAUCCCAGCUUCACGUUCUCAUUCACCAAAAUCAUCCUCUCCGAUUCUAACAACUCCAUCAAACUCUUCAACAACUCUAUCUUCCUCCUUGAUUCAUUACACACGUGAUCCAUCUCAUUCACUUGGUUCACUAAUAUUUCAGACUCAACAUUCUUCGCCACAAGUUCAGCAACUAGGUCAUCAAUGUUAGCUGAAGCAGCAGCAGCAGCCAUUGUUGCUGUUGUUGUUGUUGUUGUUGUUAUUUGUUGUUGCUGGUAAGAGAUUGUGCUUUCAGCGUCGGAUUCAGCAUCAGCAGAGGAAGAAGCUGUGAUGAUGGUUUCGGAAGAGCCAUUGCGAAAAUGGUGCUUCUUGUGAUUGCGGCAACGAUCCAACAAGGUGAUGUAGCCAUUGUACAAGUCUUUGAGAAGAGCAAGAAGCUGAGGGCGUUUCUGAUAGUACCAUUCAGCGCGUUCCGCAAAGGUGUCGCCCACAUUUUCUUCCUCAGAACUGCCGCUUAUUACCAACUUUUUCAUUCUCUCUUCAACAUCUGCAAAAACUACCAAUUUGUUUAAUUACAAAUGCAUCAUCAAUAAUCACGAGCAAUUCCAUAAGCAAUUAUUCAAAAUGCCCUUUUGGCUGUUAAAACAACGAUUUGAGAGCGCGAUGAUGAUGUUAAUAAAAUGUUGGGAAGCAAGUAAAGUAUGUCAUUGAUAUGGAGGUACUAAAAAAUUUACCCUUUCAUCACAAAAUGACAAAACUAGGUUGCAUUGUAAUGCAACAUAAUGCAGCAGUUGCCGCAUUAUACAAACCCGACAGGGAGUCUGAUUUGUCUAAUUAGCUUUUCUGUUUUUUUUGUUCUUUUUUAAUAUUAUAACAAAUAAAAAUAAAUUUAUAACUUAAUGUUAUAUUAUCUAACAAUACUAUUUUUUAUUUUCAUUAUUUUUACAUUAUAGUAAUUAAUAUAUAUUAAUAAAUUUAUAUAUUUUGUUAUUUUAUAUUAAUUAUAUAAAAAUAAAGAUAUAUAAGUUAAUAUUAACAUUAUUUAAAUACAUUACAUUGUAUAAUAAUAAUUAAUAUGUAAAAUAAUCAGUUAUAUAAAAUUAACUAUUAUUAUAUAAUUUAAUAUAACUAAUAAUAUGUACUUAAAUAUUAAUAAAUUUAAAAUAAUAUUAGUUUAUAAUUAAUAGUAUUAUAAAAUAAUGAUAUAAAAUAUUAUUACAUAUAAUACAAUCCAUAUUAUAGCAAACAUAAUAUUUUUAUAAUUUAAUAAAUCUUAAUGCAAUAUACAAUAAUAAAAUAGGUUUGGCUACGUUAGAGUUGCUCUAAGGUAGAGCACCUCUUCAUAACCAUACAAUUAAAGUUAUAUAUAAUUAAAAUUCGUAAUCCACUGUAAAUCACUCUAACAUAACCAUAGCCUAAUAAAAUAUAUUCUAUAACGAUUAAAAUCCAUCGCAACAUAUUUAAGAGUAAUGCUAACGACAGAGAAAAAUAAAAAAAAAAUUACUCUCUUUUUCUUUACCUAACCCACUCUCUCUCUUCCUUUUCAACACAUUUUUUUUCUGAUCUUUCUCUCUAUUCAGCAUUUUUCAAGAAUCAGAAAAGGUUUGUAAGGUCUGCAUCAAGGAAUCCAGGCCCCACAUUGACCAUUAGGUUUAUAACGCAAGUUAUGAACACUUGAACAGUGCCAUAGCGGCAAGUGUUUGGCACGCCAACUAGAUGGCGCGUAAGGCUGAUAUGAUGAGGUUAAAAGGCUAUGGAAAAUUGUGCAGAGAACAGUGAGAAUAGAAAGGUCGCUCACUGCAACAAGCCAAAGAAAGAAGCUGGCUGAUGUUGACUCCUCAUUACUGAAAAGAGGGAAACUUCACACUCGUUCAAAUUUUAAACAUUAAAAACGAUAUUCUCAAUUUUUUUGUAAUUCAAAAAAAAAAUUCAUCACUUACAUAAAUGCACACUACUAGCUAGCCUCAGUCAAAGCUAUUUUUGACUUUAUCACUAUUUUAUAUUUAUUUCUACUCUCACUAAUUUUCAACUUUUGCAUCCAUUAAUUUAUAUUUUUAUUCUAUAUGUGAAGGCAUGCAAAAAAAUUAAUUAUUAAAGUCUCAUUUAAAAUUAAAGUUGGAUAAUUAUAAUUUAAAAUUAUAACAUUAAAACAUCAGAUAAACAUUUAGUUACUAUAAUUUAAAAAUUAAGUUGAUUUAAUUUUAUAUUUUUAUGAAAAAAAAUUAUUAUAUUUUUAUUAAUUUUUCUAAAAUUAUUAUUUAAAAUUAUAUUAUUAUAUUUUAUUAAUUUUUAUUCAUAAUUAUAAUUUUUUUUAUAAUAACUAUAACUUUUAAGUUUUACCACCUCAAUACCAAACAAACAUAGCCUAAAAAAAUGAAAUUACUGUUAAAAAAAUAGUAACAAUAAAUCUUGCAAAUACUAUGUAAUUGUACAAAUAUAAUUUCAUAGAAAUAAUAAUUAAUAAUUUAAAAUUCGAAAACAGUUAUAAGAUUAAAAUUUUUAAAAAAAAAAGGAAGGAAAAGGUUUUGCUCGGUGUAAAGUAGCCGUACCAACAAGUGCAGGUAGAAGGCAUGAUGAAGACGACCCAACACCGGAGGAGGGUUGCAAUUGAUUUGAAUCAGCAGCAUCAAUCUCCACCGUCUGAUCAGCCUCCGACAUGCCGGGCCUACCGUAUUAAAUUGCUGAGAAAAAUAGAAAGACAUAACUCAACAACUCAAUUACUCAAUUACCUGCCGCUUUUACGAAGAAUUUAAGAUGAGAAAACCGUACAAGCAGGAAACAAAGAAUAGAAGCAGCAGAACAAAAAAGGAAACAAGAAGCGCAAAUCUCCAUAACCAAUUUAUGAUAUAUAUCAAAUCAAAAUCAAAAUAAAAUCAAACGUAUUAAAAGCGCCAUAAUUUUUUCUAUUUCUUAAAAGAGAAAAAAUAAAAGUUUAUUAUUUACUAACAUUCACUGCCUUGCAGCACCGAAUCGAUCACCAUAAUCAAUCCCCAUUCAUAUUAAUUGUUCAUCCAUUAUUUUCCAUUUCUUAUGAUUUUAUUCUUCAUUGUUUUCUAGUUUAAGUGGAAAAUUAAAAAAAAUCCUGUAAACUGUUUGGCAGCCGAGAAAUUGAAUAAAAUCUUCCGAGAAAGUUAAAAUAAGCUGGCACUCAACUAACAGUGUGUAUGAUGUACACGAAUAUUUAAAGGAAAAUCGAAGAAUGAUAAGAAAAAAAUAAUAUGUUUGGCUGCCGAGAAAAGGCAGAAAACGCUACAAACAAGGCAUAUUUACAUUUAGUUUCCUUCGAAACAAAAAAUGAAAAAGAAAAAAUUUUCGUUUUUUUUUAUUUUUAAGUUGUGCGUUUUCUCGGGAACCAAACAGAGAAUAAGAAAAUAAUAGAGAAGAAAAUGUAUUACCGUGAGCUCUGGGUGGUGGCCUGCGAAGAAAAAAACUGAGGGCUCGUGUGAAUUUGUAAGGUACAGACAGAGUGUAUUAUGGAAUUGAAGUUAUUAUGUGAACUAUAAAAUGAUUCAAAAAAAUGUGAUAUUGGAGACUGCCCAAAAUCCGCCAGAAUUAUUUUUUGAGAUUGACGCAUCAUACGCCGACACGUGGUCUGUCAGCGAUUUUCUGAUUUCAAAGUCUACGGCUGCUGCACCCUACAGUAUGUUGUAUGAUGGGGGGUUAUGUAACAGGACUCGACUAGCUUACAUAUCGACUCAUGGUAACUUAUCAUGUGCUGAGUCACGUGACCGACCGCUCUGUCACAAGACAGGCCCAAAAUAAUUUUGGUGCCGACGUAAUGUGUUAUGAUAUUGGCUCAGUUUAGAGUGCGAUUGAAAUUUAAUAAAUUAUUUUUUUUAUUUUUUUAUAAAAAUAAUAUUUAUUAAAUUUUAUAAAAGUAGUUUAUUUUAAUAUUUUUAUUUUUUAUCAGCUUUAAAGGUGAGUGGUUGUUUUUCAUAAGUAGUUUAUUCAAUAAACUAUCAUUCUUUUUUAAAAUUUCUAUUAUAACCCUAUAUUUUAAUAAAAAAAUAAUUGUAUCUUACUUAUUUAUAAAUCAUAAUAUAUAAAUCAUAAUAUAUAAAUCAUCAGAUAUCAUAUUACCGCUAUAAUUUAGUUACCAACAUAAUCACAUAUUUUUUCUCUAGUUUUGAUCAUGUAAGUUCAUAUUUUAAUUUUAUAACUAUGACUUUUAAAGUUUAAUCUAUAUAUAUUCAUAUUUUUUAAUUUAAAUUUGUCUAUUGUAGUUAUUAUAUAAUAAAACAUCACUUUCAUUAUAAAAUUUACCAAACGCAUAUAUUCUACUUUUUAAAUUUACAGCGACCGCAACAACACAGUUCAUCAAACACCAAAUUACUUUUUUAAUCAACAAUUUAUUUUAUUUACACAGCACAAACAAUUUAUUUUAUCAGUCUCCUCAAUCCCAAACUGGCCCACUGUCUGUGCCAAGCUAGAUACAAUUUGAAAUCCACCCAUGUCUUGCUUCCGCGCAAGAAAAUGAUGCAACAACACCUCUUUUAUACAAACUAGCACGGCAUCAUAUGAAUAUUUCUUAGCGAAUGCUGAUAUUCAGCCACCCUCGGCACAUAAGAAAGCCAGAAAAUGAUAUGCUUUUGUGCCGUUUUGAAGUUUUGGAUUUGAAAAUUAACAAUAAUUUUUACCAUUAAAAUAUAUUAAAAGUGAAUUAAAAGAAAUUAAAAAAUCCUCUUAUCCACUUUCUCCUACUCAAUCACCCGUGUUCUAUCCCCUGAAACACUCACGAAGCUCAUUGUCCCUCUCACUCAUGAUGAAGCUCGUUGUCCCACUUACCAACGAAGCUCGCUAUCCCUCUCACUCGCCCACAAAGCUCGUUGUCACGCCACACCCAUUGCCGACCAGUUGCCUAACGUCACUGACCAACCGCAAUUCACGUCACCGACCAGUUGCCUAACGUCACUGACCAACCGCAAUUCACGUCGCCGACUAGUCUUACUUGACAGUGUGCUUGACGAUUUUGGACCUUUUUCACCUGUUCAGGUAAUUAAAUUUAGUAUGCUAAGGAAAGUUUUGAUUUAUUAGGUUGCGAUGUCAAAAAUAGAUUGGGUAGUAUUAGUGGUCAAUUUUCUAGAAUUGUUUUACUGUUGGUGUUUGGAUUGUUUUUGGAAUUUAUAUUUAAAAUUAUGAGAAAUAAGUUAUUUGAAAUGCAGAUUUUGUUUGAAUUAUAUAUGGUUCGUACAAUUUUAUUUUUGAUGGUAUAGAAAUGACGAAUUUGGAAAAAGAUUAUGAAGUCGAAGAAUUAGAUGACAAUGAUUCAAAUGGAAAUAAUAAAGAAACUAAUAAUGUAGUGGAUGUGAAACCAAAAAAGUAUGUGUCAAAAUUUGGGAUGUUGUUUGAUAAUCUUGAUUAGAUGUAUGAUUAUUAUAAAGGUUUUAGUAAACAAGAGGGUUUUCCAAUAAAGUGACAAACUACUAAAAAAGGAUUUGAUGGGAUUGUGAGAUAUGUGACUUUUUCUUAUGAGCGGGAAGCCUAAAAUUCAGUUUUCUAAUGUAUGGAGGCCAUAACCUAGGAGGAGAAGUGGUUGCGAAGUGAAUUUGGAGGAUGUCUUAAUGAAGAUGGAAAAUGGGUUGUUUGAAAUUUAGUUCUUGAACACAACCAUGGAGUGAUAUAACCACCACAUUAGUUCAAGUGUAAAAAAAUCUUGAUAUAAAUGAUAAAGCAAGAAUUAAAGUUGCACAAAAUUUUGCUUCUGUUGUUGUUGAAGUAUGUGGAUUUGAAAAUGUCUCAUUCAUAGAAAGAGAUGUUAGAAAUCGCACCAUCCAUGCAAGGAGAUUACAACUAAAAGAAGGGGAUGUUAUGGCAAUUCAAGUGAAUUUUAAGAAAAUGCAGAAAGAAUGUAAUGGCUUUUACUAUGACAUAGACGUGAAUGAAGAUGGUCAACUAGUCAAUGUAUGAUGGGUAGAUCCAAAGAGUAGGGUACCUUACAAGGAUUUUGGAGAUGUUAUGUUCAACACUACAUAGCUUACAAACAAGUAUGACAUGCCAUUUUCUCCCUUUGUGGGAGUUAACCAUCAUGGUCAGUUUAACUUGCUAGUGUGUGGAUUGAUUUCUUAUGAGGACACUAAGACAUUUAUAUGGUUAUUUUCAGUUGUGUCUCCUGCAUGUUGAGCUCUCCUCCCAAUAAAAUCAUUACAGCCCAGGAUAAAGUAACCAAAAAGGCUAUUGAGAUAUUUUUUCCUCAUACUAGAUAUCGAUGGUAAUUGUAGCAUAUUCUAAAAAGGGUACCUGAGAUGUUAGGGGGCUUAUAAAAAAAUAUGAUGGCAUUAAAUUCAUUACUUUCUACUAUUUAUAAUUUGCAAAGUCCUAGUAUGUUUGAGAAUGCAUAGCAUGACAUAAUUAUGAAAUAUGAUUUAGGUUGCAAUGAUUAGUUCAAGUGGUUUGUACAAUGAGAGAUAUUGUUAGGUUCCGUGUUUUGUGAAUAAUAGUUUUUUUGGUAGGAAUAUCAACAACUCAAUAAAGUGAGAGCAUGAUGCUUUUCUUUAUAGGUACGUGACAUCAAAAACAACAUUGAAACAACCUGUGGAGCAAUUUGAUAAUGCAUUGCAAAGUAAAGUGGAAAAGAAUCAUAAAAAGAUGAGAACUGUUUAAGGCAAUAGAUUUUAUGUGUAACUAUUUUUGAAAUGGAGAGGCAAAUUCAAGAGGCUUACACUAACUCAAAGUUUCUUGAAUUUCAGCAAGAGCUACUUGGUUUGAUGUAUUGUGACAUAAUCGACUGUGUGGGAUCAUUAUAUGAUGUUAGUGAACAGAGUGUGGAUGGUAACAAAAGAAGUUCCGAAUUCAUUUUUGAAAAUGAUGAAAGCACAGUGGAUGUAGCUAUUUAAAGUUUGAAUCUGCAAGGCUUAUGUGUAGACAUGCCAUUGGAUCAUUUCUGUGUUGUUUCGUAACUCUAUUACUCUACUUCCAGAAAAAUACAUCUUACGGAGAUGGAGAAAAGAUGUAUAAAGAUGUCAUAAUAAGGUAAAAUUCAGUUGUGAGAGGUGGAGUUUUAACUAAUGAACAGAAGCAAUGUAGAAAAAUGUGUGAUGUUUUUAGCAAUGUUGUGAACAUAGCUGCAGAUGAUAGAAAAAAGUUACCAAUUCCUUAUGGAUUUGAUUGGGAAAAUAGAAGUGGGUCUGCCUUAGAGAAUUUGUUGUAGAAGUAAAACAAGUGGUAACAACAAGGUGGGAUGUAUAAUGAAUGAGAAUAAUCAAAUUAACCUACAAGAUCUAGUUGUAUCUUGAACAAAAGGUUGUCUACCUUCUCAAAGAAAACAAUCGAAGGUUGAGAAGAAAUACAAAAAGAAAAUUAAGGUAAGAUUAAAUACUUAGAUAAUUAUUUUAUAGUUAAUUUUAAUUUAUCUUUUUAUGGAUUUACUGGACUCAAAUGUAAAAACUCUAUUAUCUUUUAAUGUGGAUAUUGUGGUCCCAACGCAGGAGAGCAAUAAGAAUUCAGUAAGUUUUGUGUUUUUUUAUGUAUGUUUAUUAAUAUUAAAUUUGUCAUUAUGUAAAAAGUUACCAGUACAGUGUUUAUUUAGGCACCUGUGUUUGCAUGCCGAUCACCAGGAUGCGAUAUUUAUCCAUCAUAUCCUUUUGAUUCUUACACUAUAAGUUAUAAACCAAUUUCUAUAUUUUAUGCCUAAUUAAUUUUGCACUUUAUGGAAUGUAAUAUGGUUAUUAUUUUAUGCAAACUAACAAUCUCUAUUACUCUCAUCGCAUCCAUCUAUGUUGCCUUAUUCUUCGUCUUAGAUACUCUAUGGAGGAUCUCAACAAGGGAGUUUUCAGCAAUUACUACUUCAAACUAGGGGUGAGCGUUCGGAUCAGGUUAACCCGAACCAAACUAAACCCAAAAUUUAGGUUAACCUGUGCAACCUGAAUGGAUUCAAAUACAUACAUACAUACAUACAUACAUACAUACAUACAUACAUACAUACAUACAUACAUACAUACAUACAUACAUACAUACAUACAUACAUACAUACAUACAUACAUACAUACAUACAUACAUACAUACAUACAUACAUACAUACAUACAUACAUACAUACAUACAUACAUACAUACAUACAUACAUACAUACAUACAUACAUACAUACAUACAUACAUACAUACAUACAUACAUACAUACAUACAUACAUACAUACAUACAUACAUACAUACAUACAUACAUACAUACAUACAUACAUACAUACAUACAUACAUACAUACAUACAUACAUACAUACAUACAUACAUACAUACAUACAUACAUACAUACAUACAUACGUACGUACGUACGUACGUACGUACGUAUGUAUGUAUGUAUGUAUGUAUGUAUUAAACAAAAAAAAUCUCUUUGACUACAUUUUUUAUAUUUUAUUAAUUUUAAAAAGACUUGUUGAAAUGUUGUUAAGGAUAUUUGGAUUUGAGAUUUUUGGAUUUUAAGUGGUUUUGGUAAAAUUUAUGGAUUAAAUUGUUCCAACCCAUUCUAACCCGAAUUAACCUAAAUUACCAACUCAAUCUGAUCCGAAUUACGAACCUAAAUCGAACCGAACCAAACCGAAUUAAAUUCGGUUUAGUUCGGUUCGGGUUGACGUUUUCAACCCGAUUGGGUUCAAUUCUCCAACCCGAUCAGGUUGAAACCUAAAUCGAAAUUCGAACAACCCAAACCGAAACCCGAUAUGCCCACCCCUACUUCAAACAAAAUGACAAUGACAAAAAACCAAACUUCAGAGAUUGAUCAUUAACUUAGUCUUUUUUUUCAUAUAUAAUUUUAGAUGUGUUUUGUGUAUUAGUUGGUUGGAUGAUAUUACUCUAAUGCUCAAAGAUUGAUGGAGUCAUACAUGCUAUUAUAUUCUUAAUUGAAACAUGAGAAUGAUGCAUGAAGAUACGUAAACUGAAGAUUUAUACCAAAUUAAAAAUGAAAGUGUAUGCAAGUGAAAAUAGAAUUUUAUAACAUAAACAAAACCAUUACGACAACAAGAGUAGUUCAGACAACAUAAAUGGCUCAGAAAUGCCAAAUUAACAAAAACUAAAAAUGCAUCAGCUACAAUUAUUCAUUUAAACAUUACAAAACAUAAUUGCUAUCCCUAAAAUACACAUCACAAUGGAAAAAAUAAUCCAGAAUGUCCAACAAUUAUUCUUGACUUCAUUAAUUUGCACACUCUUAUCACAUGUUUCCACAUUAAUCUUCCCAACUUCAAGCCUAGCUAAAGUAGGCAACUAGUUGUUCAUUUUCCUCUCACGAUUGUAAGCAUUGUAUGUUGAUUCGACAUCCAACAAUGGUCUGUAAGAUUGGAAUGAAUUAUCCUUAAAUCCAUUUACUUGCCUUUAGAUUCAUAUAUUACAUCCCUCAAAUACAAUGUAAUAGGUAUGGCAAGUCAUUAGUUUCUACAUUUGAUAAAAAUAAAAUACAAAUUAGCAACAUAAAGAGAAAAAAGAAAAUGAUGGAUUCUAUUUCAUUUCUCAGGUGGUAGUGUCGUUAGGGUACACCAAAUUUAAAACUUUAUUACUAAUAUAAAUAACUAGUACAGAGUGAGUAAGGAUCGAUACCACGAAAAUUAUGCUAGUUGUAUUUAUUAUCAACUCUAAAGUAGGAUUUAAAAUAAAAUAAUAGUAGUAGUAAUAAUAGUAAUAAUAAUACAGAUUAAUGUAACUAAAGAAAAUGUCAAUUAAAAAUAAAAAGGGGUUUAUGAAUUUUUAAAUAAAUAGCAAGAAAUAAAGAAAUUAAAGCUACAAAAAUAAUAAUUUAAUAAAAAAACUCUAGUUAAAGGAGAAAGAAAUAAUAAUGAUGAAAACUUUGGUUAAAUGAUCAUUUGCUACCACCAAAUAUGCACAUAAUAUAUCAAUUCUAUCAUCAAUUUCUAUUGAAACUAUCAACCGUAAACAACUAUAAGCUCUAUUAGUCUUAGUCUUUCCUUAGAGUGUCGUUAGGCAAAACAAGCUCUUCACCUAAUCUCUAACCAUUAAAUAAUUUAAAAUAAGAUUUUUAAAUUUAAGAUAAUGGAAGUAUUAAGUAGAGAAAGAUAUUAGGUUAAUCGAGGCAAUAAACACACAAGCUCGGAUUAUUUAAUCUAGGUUAUGUUCUCCAAUUGAAAUCACUCAUUCCAACCUACUACUAAUGAUUAAAAUAUCAAGACAGUUACGGAUCAAGAAUUUUAAUGUAGCAAUAAAAUUUAUUCAAGUCCUAUAUAAUUGGCCACUCAAAUAAGGCAAGAAUAAAAUCAUAAACAUUAAUUAUAGAAGAACAUAAACAAUCUUAAUUAAAUAAAUUGAAUGAUAGAAAUUAAACAUUAAUCAUAUGACAUGUUUGGGGUUUUAAAUUUAUCAUCAACUAAAUAGAAAAUCUAGCUAACAUAAUUGAAUUGGGAAUAAAAGAGUUAAUAAAACCAAACAUAAAAAUUAAUUCAAACGACUACCUCCUCUAUUUUUUUCUUCUCUUCUUGCCGCUGCUUUCUCUUCAAUUCCUCUUGGUUGCUGAUUGUCUUCAAAUCAAAAGCCAGUAGUUGGCUUUUAUAGUACUUAAGCCACCGACCUUAGUAAUUAAGGUUUGAUCAUUUGUUUUCCUUUUUUUUCCUUUUUCGUCCUCAUGCACAAGCUUUUGUGAUUGACCAUGAUUUCUAAAGCCAAAAGGCUUAAUUUUCCUUCCUCUCACGUGAUGGCUUUGCUUGUUAAUUGGUUUGGCUUCCUUUUUGACUUCCUUUGUCCAUUUUUAGCUCCAUCAAGAUUAAUUUUGCUUGGCCCGUACAAGCUCUAAUUGGAAAAUAUUCAUUAUUUCUUUAAUUCUUUCCAAUUCUUAAUCUCUUAUGCACUUUUGUCUUACAAUCUUCAAUUCUUUUCCUAUUCUGAUUCUUUCAAUCAGAAAUUUUUUUCCUAAAUGUCCCGAUUUAAUUCAUCUUUAAUCCCAGAAUAUACCUAAAUAACAAAAUAUAAAAACUAAGAUAAAAAUUAACACAAUAAAAUAUGAUUUAAAAAAUUAACUAAAGUAAUUAGAAUAUUUAAGGCCAAUAACAAGGAAAGAUGGAUAAAUUAAUUAGUAAAAUAUAGAGAAAAUAUGCACUUAUCAUCGGUUAUCAAACAAUAAUUCCCAUAUAUGUCCAUCACUUAAACAUGUAUGCAAGCCCCCAAAAAGUCACAUUUGGUUUGAAGUUAAUGGCGCAAUCUGCUGUACGGCCAAGGCGGAUGUACGGUACAGCAGCAUACAUACAUACAUACAUACAUACAUACAUACAUACAUACAUACAUACAUACAUACAUACAUACAUACAUACAUACAUACAUACAUACAUACAUACAUACAUACAUACAUACAUACAUACAUACAUACAUACAUACAUACAUACAUACAUACAUACAUACAUACAUACAUACAUACAUACAUACAUACAUACAUACAUACAUACAUACAUACAUACAUACAUACAUACAUACAUACAUACAUACAUACAUACAUACAUACAUACAUACAUACAUACAUACAUACAUACAUACAUACAUACAUACAUACAUACAUACAUACAUACAUACAUACAUACAUACAUACAUACAUACAUACAUACAUACAUACAUACAUACAUACAUACAUACAUACAUACAUACAUACAUACAUACAUACAUACAUACAUACAUACAUACAUACAUACAUACAUACAUACAUACAUACAUACAUACAUACAUACAUACAUACAUACAUACAUACAUACAUACAUACAUACAUACAUACAUACAUACAUACAUACAUACAUACAUACAUACAUACAUACAUACAUACAUACAUACAUACAUACAUACAUACAUACAUACAUACAUACAUACAUACAUACAUACAUACAUACAUACAUACAUACAUACAUACAUACAUACAUACAUACAUACAUACAUACAUACAUACAUACAUACAUACAUACAUACAUACAUACAUACAUACAUACAUACAUACAUACAUACAUACAUACAUACAUACAUACAUACAUACAUACAUACAUACAUACAUACAUACAUACAUACAUACAUACAUACAUACAUACAUACAUACAUACAUACAUACAUACAUACGUACGUACGUACGUACGUACGUACGUAUGUAUGUAUGUAUGUAUGUAUGUAUUAAACAAAAAAAAUCUCUUUGACUACAUUUUUUAUAUUUUAUUAAUUUUAAAAAGACUUGUUGAAAUGUUGUUAAGGAUAUUUGGAUUUGAGAUUUUUGGAUUUUAAGUGGUUUUGGUAAAAUUUAUGGAUUAAAUUGUUCCAACCCAUUCUAACCCGAAUUAACCUAAAUUACCAACUCAAUCUGAUCCGAAUUACGAACCUAAAUCGAACCGAACCAAACCGAAUUAAAUUCGGUUUAGUUCGGUUCGGGUUGACGUUUUCAACCCGAUUGGGUUCAAUUCUCCAACCCGAUCAGGUUGAAACCUAAAUCGAAAUUCGAACAACCCAAACCGAAACCCGAUAUGCCCACCCCUACUUCAAACAAAAUGACAAUGACAAAAAACCAAACUUCAGAGAUUGAUCAUUAACUUAGUCUUUUUUUUCAUAUAUAAUUUUAGAUGUGUUUUGUGUAUUAGUUGGUUGGAUGAUAUUACUCUAAUGCUCAAAGAUUGAUGGAGUCAUACAUGCUAUUAUAUUCUUAAUUGAAACAUGAGAAUGAUGCAUGAAGAUACGUAAACUGAAGAUUUAUACCAAAUUAAAAAUGAAAGUGUAUGCAAGUGAAAAUAGAAUUUUAUAACAUAAACAAAACCAUUACGACAACAAGAGUAGUUCAGACAACAUAAAUGGCUCAGAAAUGCCAAAUUAACAAAAACUAAAAAUGCAUCAGCUACAAUUAUUCAUUUAAACAUUACAAAACAUAAUUGCUAUCCCUAAAAUACACAUCACAAUGGAAAAAAUAAUCCAGAAUGUCCAACAAUUAUUCUUGACUUCAUUAAUUUGCACACUCUUAUCACAUGUUUCCACAUUAAUCUUCCCAACUUCAAGCCUAGCUAAAGUAGGCAACUAGUUGUUCAUUUUCCUCUCACGAUUGUAAGCAUUGUAUGUUGAUUCGACAUCCAACAAUGGUCUGUAAGAUUGGAAUGAAUUAUCCUUAAAUCCAUUUACUUGCCUUUAGAUUCAUAUAUUACAUCCCUCAAAUACAAUGUAAUAGGUAUGGCAAGUCAUUAGUUUCUACAUUUGAUAAAAAUAAAAUACAAAUUAGCAACAUAAAGAGAAAAAAGAAAAUGAUGGAUUCUAUUUCAUUUCUCAGGUGGUAGUGUCGUUAGGGUACACCAAAUUUAAAACUUUAUUACUAAUAUAAAUAACUAGUACAGAGUGAGUAAGGAUCGAUACCACGAAAAUUAUGCUAGUUGUAUUUAUUAUCAACUCUAAAGUAGGAUUUAAAAUAAAAUAAUAGUAGUAGUAAUAAUAGUAAUAAUAAUACAGAUUAAUGUAACUAAAGAAAAUGUCAAUUAAAAAUAAAAAGGGGUUUAUGAAUUUUUAAAUAAAUAGCAAGAAAUAAAGAAAUUAAAGCUACAAAAAUAAUAAUUUAAUAAAAAAACUCUAGUUAAAGGAGAAAGAAAUAAUAAUGAUGAAAACUUUGGUUAAAUGAUCAUUUGCUACCACCAAAUAUGCACAUAAUAUAUCAAUUCUAUCAUCAAUUUCUAUUGAAACUAUCAACCGUAAACAACUAUAAGCUCUAUUAGUCUUAGUCUUUCCUUAGAGUGUCGUUAGGCAAAACAAGCUCUUCACCUAAUCUCUAACCAUUAAAUAAUUUAAAAUAAGAUUUUUAAAUUUAAGAUAAUGGAAGUAUUAAGUAGAGAAAGAUAUUAGGUUAAUCGAGGCAAUAAACACACAAGCUCGGAUUAUUUAAUCUAGGUUAUGUUCUCCAAUUGAAAUCACUCAUUCCAACCUACUACUAAUGAUUAAAAUAUCAAGACAGUUACGGAUCAAGAAUUUUAAUGUAGCAAUAAAAUUUAUUCAAGUCCUAUAUAAUUGGCCACUCAAAUAAGGCAAGAAUAAAAUCAUAAACAUUAAUUAUAGAAGAACAUAAACAAUCUUAAUUAAAUAAAUUGAAUGAUAGAAAUUAAACAUUAAUCAUAUGACAUGUUUGGGGUUUUAAAUUUAUCAUCAACUAAAUAGAAAAUCUAGCUAACAUAAUUGAAUUGGGAAUAAAAGAGUUAAUAAAACCAAACAUAAAAAUUAAUUCAAACGACUACCUCCUCUAUUUUUUUCUUCUCUUCUUGCCGCUGCUUUCUCUUCAAUUCCUCUUGGUUGCUGAUUGUCUUCAAAUCAAAAGCCAGUAGUUGGCUUUUAUAGUACUUAAGCCACCGACCUUAGUAAUUAAGGUUUGAUCAUUUGUUUUCCUUUUUUUUCCUUUUUCGUCCUCAUGCACAAGCUUUUGUGAUUGACCAUGAUUUCUAAAGCCAAAAGGCUUAAUUUUCCUUCCUCUCACGUGAUGGCUUUGCUUGUUAAUUGGUUUGGCUUCCUUUUUGACUUCCUUUGUCCAUUUUUAGCUCCAUCAAGAUUAAUUUUGCUUGGCCCGUACAAGCUCUAAUUGGAAAAUAUUCAUUAUUUCUUUAAUUCUUUCCAAUUCUUAAUCUCUUAUGCACUUUUGUCUUACAAUCUUCAAUUCUUUUCCUAUUCUGAUUCUUUCAAUCAGAAAUUUUUUUCCUAAAUGUCCCGAUUUAAUUCAUCUUUAAUCCCAGAAUAUACCUAAAUAACAAAAUAUAAAAACUAAGAUAAAAAUUAACACAAUAAAAUAUGAUUUAAAAAAUUAACUAAAGUAAUUAGAAUAUUUAAGGCCAAUAACAAGGAAAGAUGGAUAAAUUAAUUAGUAAAAUAUAGAGAAAAUAUGCACUUAUCAUCGGUUAUCAAACAAUAAUUCCCAUAUAUGUCCAUCACUUAAACAUGUAUGCAAGCCCCCAAAAAGUCACAUUUGGUUUGAAGUUAAUGGCGCAAUAUAUGCUUUAGAGAAAAUGAAGAACCUUACAAUGAAGCUACAAUUAUUGGAUUUAGCAGAACAAUUGCCGCAACUAAAGAACUCAAGAAUGCAACUAAGAUAAAAAAACAAUUGCCUCAACUAAAGAAUUCACAGAAACCAUUCCAAGCCUUGCCAUUUUGUUCAAUAUGGCAAAGGUAGUACAACAACAAAAUGUGGAAGGUUUCAAUGCAAUUGAAUCACAAAGAUGUAAUAAAAAAAUACAAUUGAAUCAUAGAGUUUAUAGAAAUGAGGUCACAUAAAUGUAAAGAAGCAAUGAAUCAAGCAAGGUUUCAAUGCUUCAUUGGAAAAUAAAAAUAGGAAAAGUUUUAGUGUACAUGGUUUUAGCAAAAGAAUAUUAGGGAAUACAUUUUACUAAAACAAGCACUUUAGUCUCAUUUAUCAGAAGAAAAAUUAUUGGUAAAUUGUAAAUGGUGUGACUGUGCCACUAUAGAGCUUCAGGAACAACCUUUCUAAGUUGAGCAACUAAAAAAGAAAAAAAUUACACCCAGAAAUAGUAUCUUUUAAUUGGAUUCAAAAUUAGUAAUGAAAUCAGAAAUCUAUCUACCUCCAAUGAAUCGAAACUUUCCUCAACAUUACUUGAAGAGGUGAAAAAGGUCCAACUGAUUGGCAAUGUGAAUGGUGUGAUGGCGCGACGUGAGGCAACUAGUCGGCACAACUAGUUGGUGAUGGGUGUGGCAUGACAACAAGCUUCGUAGGUGAGAGGGACAACGAGCUUCACUGGUGAGAAGGACAGCGAGCUUCAUGGUGAGUGAGAGGGACAGCGAGCUUCAUGGUGAGUGAGAGGUGAAAUGCAAGUUAUGCAACCCAAGAGAGGGGGUGAAUUGGGAUUUUAAAAUUUAUGCAAUACAAUUCGUACAAUAAUUUAAUCUAUUGCCUUAAUCAAAUCAAAAAUCAAGCACAAUAUUAAAAGAGAUAUUAAAAGAGUAAGGGAAGAGAAAACAAAUAUAAGGAUUUUUACGUGGUUCGGCUAUCCCCGCCUACGUCCACGCCUCCAAGCUCACCCGGCUUGAGGAUUUCACUAUUCAAGCCUCCCAAGGCUUCAAAUGUUUACAAUUGACUUCCAAGGUGUCAAUGGUUCACUACAACAAGAUAUUAUCUCCCCAAUCUCUUCACCCCAAGUGUUUCUCACACUUGUACACUCACAAUUUGAUGAGAAAUAAAAAUCACAACAAUGAAACUAUCUUUAAGAGUGGAUAACAAAUUAUAGCUCAAUAAUGACUCAAUAAAUGAUGAUUUGUGAAAUGAAAGCUCAAUAUAUGUUAUAUGAUCUUAUUUAUGCUUGUAUUAGUUUUUAAAAUAAAGUUGGAGUUGAGUUUUUAUAGUUAAAGCCCGAAAACUAGCCGUUAUAGGUAAAUUCCCGCGCCCAAGCGGUUAGCCGCUUGAUUUAUCCGGCUAGCCACUCAUGAACAGUGAUAUUACCAUUAGUUUUGAAUUUACUACAGUAAUACUGUUUACUAAAAUUAUACUUUAGGCCCAAAACUUUCUAUAAUUAUGUUACGGCACAAAAUGUCAUAAAACUUGACAAAUAGGUCCAAUUUUAGAAUUUCCUAAAAAUAAUUAUCUUUCCAAAACUUUCUGAAAUUAUGAUAUGGCCCCAAAGAUAUUAUUAUUUCGCAAAAAAGUCCUUGUCAACAUAAUACCCAUAUUUUUCAAAGUUCUCAAAAAUCUCACUUUAGUCCAAAAUAUUCAUAAAUUAUAGUAUGACCCAAAACAUUUAAAUGUUUAUAAAAACAUCCAACUCCGAAAUUUAAUAAUAAUACUUAUUAAAAUAAAAAAUUUCAAAACUUUACAUUUAAAACCAAAAUAACUCAAAACCACAAGGUACUUUAUCUUAUAAAAAUAAAACCUUUUAGUUUAUAAAAAGUAAUUAAUUAAAUUAAUCUCUUGAGCUUCUCAAAUGCUAAAUCAUGCAUCAAUUAAAUCAUACCGGCUUUACGAGAAUUUAUCGCACUAAUUUGUCCGUUGAGCUCUAAACUUUAUUCUUGAUGUCGCCAUUGUCCGUUGAGUGUCUUGAACUUGAUUUCACUUGAUUCACUUGCAUAAAUAUUACCCUUCAAAAACUAGUGCAAAUGUGAAAUAUAAUACUAUUAAAUCACUUAAUACUGUUAGCCUAAAGGGCUAUACAUAAUGUAAUUUUGAUGAUAACAAACAUGUGUAUUAAGUAAUUUAAUAAAUAUUGUAUUUCACAUUUUCACUAAUUUUUUAAGGAUAAUAUUUAUGCAAGUGAAUCAAGUGAAAUCAAGAUUGAAGACACUCAACGGACAACAACGACAUCAAGAAUAUAGUUUAGAGCUCAACGAACAAAUUAGUGCGAUAAAUUCUUGUAAAGCCGGUAUGAUUUAAUUGAUGCAUGAUUUAGCAUUUGAGAAGUUCAAGAGAUUAAUUUAAUUAAAUACUUUUCAUAAACUAAAAGGUUUUAUUUUUAUAAAGUAAAGUAUUUUGUGGAUUUAAGUAAUUUGGACUUAAAUGCUAAAUUAAAUGUUUUGGGCCAUACUAUAAUUUAUGAAUAUUUUGGACUAAAGUGAAAGGUUUUGAGAACUUUAAAAAAUAUGGGUAUUAUGUUGAAAAGGACCUUUGUGUGAAACAAUAAAAUCUUUGGGGCCAUAUCAUAAUUUUAAAAAGUUUGGGAAAGACAACUAUUCUUAGGAAAUUCUGAAAUUGGACCUAUUUAAAAAGUUUUCUGACGUUUUGGUCUAUAGUAUAAUUAUAUAAAGUUUUGUGCUAAAGUGUAAUUUCAGUGAACAGUGUUACUGUAGCAAAUUCAAAAAUAACGGUAAUAUUACUGUGCCUGAGCGGCUAGCCGGAUAAUCAAGCGGCUAACUGCUUGAGCGCUGGAAUUUACCUAUAACGGCUAGUUUUUGGGUUUUCACUAUAAAAACUCAACUCAAACUUCAUUUUAAGAACUAAUGCAAGCAAAUAUAAGAUCAUACAACAUAUAUUGAGCUUCCAAAACGCAAAUCUUCAUAGAUUGAAUCAUUGUUGAGCCAUUAUUUGCAUAUCCACUCUUAAAGAGAGUUUUUGUUGUGAUUUUCAUUUCUCAUCAAAUUGUGAGUGUACAAGUGUGAGAAACACUUGGGGUGAAGAGAUUGGGGAGAUAAUCUCUUGUUGUAAAGGUCCAUUGACACCUUGGAAGUCAAUUGUAAACAUUUGAAACCUUGGGAGGCUUGGAUAGUGAAAUCCUCAAGCCGGGUGAGCUUGGAGGCGUGGGCGUAGGCGGGGAUAGCCGAACCACGUAAAAAUCCUUGUGUUUAUUUUCUCUUCCCUUACUCUUUUAAUAUUGUGCUUGAUUGAAUUUAUUAUUUUCAUUUGAUUAAGGCAAUAGAUUAAAUUGUUGUGCGAAUUGUAUUGCAUAAAUUUUAAAAUCUCAAUUCACCCCCCCUCUUGGGUUGCAUAACUUGCAUUUCAAAUACAUAUGUUUGUUAUCAUCAAAAUUACAUUAUAUGUAGCCCUUUAGGCUAACAAGAGGGAUAACAAGCUUCGGGGGUGAGUGAAAAGGGAUAGAGCGGGUGAGUGAAGAGAGGCAGAGCAGGUGAGUGAGAGGGAGGGAGUGGAUAAGAACAGGUUAAGAUUUUUUCUAUUCUUUUGAUUAUUUUUAUUAUAUUUUAAUGGUAAAAUUUAUUUUUAAUUUUUAAUUUUUAAAUUCAAAACUUCAAAAUAGCCCAGGAAACAUGUCAUUUUUGGCUUCCUUAUGUAUUGAGGGUGGCCAAAUAUCAUUUUCCUUUUAUAGCUUACAUGAUUGAAUUUUAUUAUUUUACUUAUAUUAAACAAUCAUAUAAUAUUACAUUCAUUUAUACAAUAAUAUUUAUAUAAGAGUUUAUAAAUAUAUUAUUACUGUUUUUUUAAUAUUACUGUAGCCUGCAAAAAAAUUUAUAUUAAAGAUAAAUAGGCAUUAUGGAGACACCAUGGCAACCAAAACCGCAUCUCCAUGUUGUUUUGUUGCAAUUUAUUUAUUUGUCUUAAAUUAUCCCCAAAAAAAGGCACCAUAGAGAUGUCUUAAAUUUAGUAUUUAUGUAUAUAAUAAUUAAAGAUGACUGAAAAUCCCAACGAGACGGGAAUCUUAGAGAGAUUUUCGCAAUUUGGGAAGGUAUGAAGAUACCUUUGUAUCUAAUUUCGCAUUCAGGAAAUUGAUAGAGCCAAUUCAAUACCCAAUAUCUUAUUCGGUUUUCCCCACUUCUAUUUUAUUUUAUAAAAUUUAAAUUGUAACGGUAUGGAUGUAAAUAACACAUAUAAUAAUAUUUACUAAAGUGAUAUAAAUAACAACUAAUGUAUAUACUUGAAGAUUGAUGAAGAUAAUUUCUGUGAUGACUUAUAGGACAGCCACAAGCUAGGAAUUGUGGGGGAUGCCAAUACCUGCCCUUGUCCUUCUAAAAUAAAAGAAAUCGUUUUCUCAGCCCUUACAUGUUAUGGGUCUAAAUGGGUAUGGUGGGAAAUUUUCCAUAAAGAAAUACAAAAAUCCAUGUCUAUCUCUUAUCCCCUAUCCCUUGUAUCCUCUUUAUUAUUUUAAUAUCCUGCUCAUAUUUUAAAAAAAUUUCAACUAAAAGAUGAUAUAAUAUCCAAUUGUAAUAUCUUAAAAAUUAUUUUAAAAAAUAGCUUCAAGUUUAGUGACAUCUUCACUUUGUUAAAAUUCGAAUGUUCUCACUAAAAAAGUAUAUUUACACAGACGCACACGCAUACGCACAUGCACGCAUGCGCACACACAUAUGUAUAUUCAUUGAUGAUCUUUAUUUGCUAAGCUCAACUUUGAUCAAUAUGUUACUAAAUGAGGAUACUGAAUCUAUUUAAAUAGAGAGAAAAUUAUAUUUUUUGAUUAUUACGUUUUGUAGUAAUCCAGAAUAAAGAACCACUUUUUAUUGAUUUUUUUUUCUUAAUAUACAAGACUUGUAAGAAGUAAAGUCUUCAAAAAUAACUUUUGAUAUUUUUUUUUUCCGAGAGGGACUUUUGAUAUCCUUAAACACUAUGACAAUUAAGGAUGGCAAAAUGCGGGUUUGGGUUUAGCUGUUCCAAGCCCAGACCCAAGCCAAUUAGAGAGGAAUUAUAAGGGCUGGGCCGGGGUUGGCCUUAGGCAGGACUUGGGCAUCCACUUGUUUUUAAUUUUUUUAAAUUGUUGUAAAGUUGAAAUAAGUUAAUAAUUAAUAAGUGGUUAUAAUUAAUAAUGAAUUAAAGAAAAUGAAUAUUUGAAAAUAAAAUAAUAAACAAAGAAAAUGAAGCAAAUAAAAGUUUAGAAAUUUAAUUUUUUAAUGUUGGAUCCUCUAAUUCAAGCACCUCCUUAAUUAGGUAUUUAAGCUUUUUUUUUAACUUUUUUUAUUAUUUUUUAAUUUUAAUUUAUUAUUCUAAUUUAUAAUUUAUUUUUUUAAAAAAUAGAUGGUUUGGACCUAGCCUUGGCUUUUUUUCUCUUAAGCCCUUCUCCUGGUCCUUUAUGUGGAGAUUCAGGCCAAAGCCUGUGGGAAUGACCCUGGACCUACCCAGGCUUAUUUGCAAUCUCUAAUGGCAAUUGGCAAGUUGCUUAUUUUAAGAUUUAUAGUGCUUUUACAGUUUUACUUCUCAAAUUGGGGAAUCAGAAUCUAAAAUAUGAAUGAUUAAUUGUGUUUACUUAGUAAAAUGGAGGUAGAAAUGAGAAUAAAACAUGUUGAGCUCACAUAUUUUUUGGAUUAAGAAAUGGGAACUUGAUUCCCACGAGAGAGAUAAGGAAUCAAGUUCUCAUUCCUUAGACUUUCCAUUUUACUCCCACUCAAAUUUUUUAAUUUAACUUUCAUCCUCAAAUAAAAUAUUAUUAUAUUAUAAUAUUAUUAUCAUUUUUUGUUAUUAUUGUUGUUAAUAAUAAUAAUAAUAAUAAUAAUCCGUUAUUUUCUCAGUUAAGUUUAACGGUGGAGGGGUAAAAUUGGAAGUUCAUUCCUUAAAUUAAUUUUAAUGGGAAUUCUCUUUAUUGUAAUUGAAAUAAAAAUUUAAAAAAAUUAAAGGAAAAAUAAUAGUGGUGACCUGCUGUACCGUACAUCCGCCUUGGCCGUACAGCAGAUUUAAACUAUUAAUAAUAAUAAUUAUUAUUAUUAUUAUUAAUUAAAUAAAUAAUAAUAAUAAAAACAAUCAUUAUAAUAAAUAAUGACAAUAAUCAACUAAAAGUAAACAAUUUUUUAUUUUCAUUCUCAUUCUGACUACAGCUCAUUCUGAUUCUAACACAUUCCGAUUACCGUUUAGUGAACGCACCAUCAAACUCUUUAUUACUUUAUUAUUUAUUUUGUUUGCUUAUAAAUAAAUAGCCAAUUUUAACAUUAAAAAAAUGAAGAGUUAAAUGGUUUAUGUGGUGGGUACGGGUCAAAGUGUCUUGUACAUAUGCCCAACGCAUCUAACCAAUGAGCAAAAAAAAUGUAACAACCCUAUACCUAAUCCUAAUGUAACAACCCCUUCCAAACCCCAUCCCAAUAGGGAUUUUUUGCCAUCCUUUCUUUUACCAUUUGAGUUCAACUUUGAAGCUCUAUUUUUGCUUAAUUUUAUAGAUUAUCUUGUAAUUUUAAUUCACCUUUGAAACUCCAUUUUUACUUAAUUUCAAAGAUUAUUUUCUAAUGUUAACGAUGAUAACUUAAUUUGAUAGAAAUGAUUUUAAUUACUUUAGUUUAUUUUGAUGUUUUUGUGUUGGUAAUACGAUUUUAUACUUCUACUUUAAUAUAAUUAAAUAAAGUUUAGAAAAUAAAAAUAUCAGUUAUUUAAGGGUUGAGUAUUCUCAAAAAUCCCCUUUUAUUAUUUGAAAAUCUUCAUCUCCUCCCUUCAAGCAAUUUAAAGGGGACAGGGAGAGUAUUAGAAUAUAAAUAGAGCAUUAAAAAUGAAGACAAAAAUGUCAAUUCCGUCCCGCCCGUCUCCACCAUUUAUUAUUCUAGAAGAGUGCUAUCAUUCAAUCCACUUCCCUCACCGUCAAAAAUUUGCAUCUAAAUGUGGAAUAUUUGAAUUAGCAUUGUCAUUCUACCAUUCGCUAAUUGAUAUAAAAGAUCACAAGAGUCAGUGCAACGUUACUGAUUCUGAUGAUUGAUUGAACGCUUAGGUUUUUGUAACCACAAUUCAAUCCUACUCUUCAAACUAGCCUUACAUGCCAAAUGCAUAAACUCUUUGGAAAUACGAACAUAUUUCCAGAAAAUGGAAGCAAAUUAUCCACUUCGCUAUAUUCUUUAUCGAAUAAUGCUAUAUGUACCAAAUGGCACAAAAUUUAGUACAAAAGCACAGAAGAUUAAAAUACACACACACACACACACAUAUAUAUAUAUAGUUAUUAUUAAUUUUUUUUUUUUGGGUUUUCUAGUAAUAUUGUGCAAUUUUUUUUUUCUACUUUUUGCAUACAUAUAUCAUUGUCGUUCUUUAAGAUAGCUGAGAAGUGAAGUAUGUAAGCCCAUGAAACUAAGUGUGACAUCUGAUAGCUAUGCAGUAACUGGUCUUAAAUAACUUCUAACAUCAAAACAUAAAUCUGGAUGAACAUAUUCGAAUAUGAAAACAAAUAGAAUACAGUAUUUGACCAAAGACAUUUUGAACAGAUAAUUAACAAGCAUCAUUAUGGUGGUACGGUAUUGAUUUUUUUGAAAAUAAAAUGGAUAAAAUUUGUUACUCAAAAAGAAAAGAAACCUUCUAAUCGUUGACGAGCAAUAGAAGCUGCAUUCUCUAAAUUUGCACAAACAUGAUCAAAAUAAGGACACUAUUAUCACUAUUAAAAGAAUCAUUAGCCAUUACAGUAAAAACUAAAAAGAACCUCCUCCUCUCUCUUGCAGAGGAUAGGUCAAAGCUCAGCCGUACUGAUGUAAAAAUUAUAUAUAUAACCCUGAAAGGAAGCAGUCUCCAUCCCCAAAUGUCUAAAUCAUCACAUUCACAGGUUAAAAAUAAAAAAUGAGUAUGAAAAAGGUGGUUCUGUCAAUGCCAGUGUUAUUUAUGCUAUUUAUGUGAACUAACAACUCAGAGAGCAGACCUGGAAGCGGCUGCGUGAAACUGUAUGGGCCUGAACCCCGAACAGGUGAUUAGCAAAGUAUGCUAUGUUUCGCGCAUUUUUAGCACAUUGAAUCUCGUAUCAGCCUUCUGCUAAUGAGCACUUUACCUCUGUGAAAAUAGUGGAAAACUACUCCUCUUGUGCCCCGUAUCGGCAUUUAACUUCAUCCCCUUCCACAAGCCUCUCCACAGCAUCCAAAGGCAGCCCAACCAGCUCUAAUGUCUUCUCCCACACUUUAUAAGAAGUUUCAAUGUUGUGAGCUUCUUCUGAAGGAUUUGCUGGACGGCAAUCUUGAGAAAUAAAUGCACAAACAGGCCAAUCAUCUGCUUUUAGCAAUUCACAAUACUCCGGCAUCUGGGGAUCAGUUGCUGAGAAAAGAGUGCUCCUAGAACCUAGAUUGAUAGAUCAUGCCAAGUUUAGCCUGUGAUCAUUUUAUUUUUCUUUUAUUACAAUUUCAUCUUUUAGAUAGCAGACAUGGGUACCAAGCACAGAACUUAUUAAAAUAUAUAAUUUCUUAACUUGUAGGAUUCAUAAGCCCUCCACAUAUCAUUUUCCAUUUUAGGUACAUUAUUCUUAAACUAUUUCUCAAGAUAGUAUAACAUGGUUCGAUUACUAGCAACAUAAACCAUGACACCACAGACUCCAACAUUGAAAUCCUAAAAUCUCACGAUACGGAUAAAACAGAAACACAAGAAUCAUUUAGUAAAAUAUUUGUAUGUUUAAAUUCCACUGUCUGGAAUUAAUGUUCAUAUUGUAUAUGGUAAUCUAUUUAAAAUGUAAAUGUUUAUGUUGCAAUUUUUGAAAAUCAGUCAUAUUGGUAAAAUUUGAUGACCCAAUAUACCUCUUCUUGCUAUUGUGAGUAAGUGUUUUCAGUAAUCAGAGUGGCAUAUGGGACAAAUCAGUUACCCCUGUUUAAUAUUUAAAAUGACCUAAUCUGAAUUGCUAUAUUUUUAGCUAGUCAAAUUUAGAUGUGGAUUGAUAUUUUUUGGGCAUUUAACAAAAGCAUUCAAUUUUCAAGCUCCUUACCAAAUUUUUUAUUUGAAUACAUACCCCAAAAAGGGGAGGGGUGCUGCNNNNNNNNNNNNNNNNNNNNNNNNNNNNNNNNNNNNNNNNNNNNNNNNNNNNNNNNNNNNNNNNNNNNNNNNNNNNNNNNNNNNNNNNNNNNNNNNNNNNNNNNNNNNNNNNNNNNNNNNNNNNNNNNNNNNNNNNNNNNNNNNNNNNNNNNNNNNNNNNNNNNNNNNNNNNNNNNNNNNNNNNNNNNNNNNNNNNNNNNNNNNNNNNNNNNNNNNNNNNNNNNNNNNNNNNNNNNNNNNNNNNNNNNNNNNNNNNNNNNNNNNNNNNNNNNNNNNNNNNNNNNNNNNNNNGGGGGGGGUUGUGGGGUACCUGAGUAGAAUAGCCAACAUGAGAAUAUUCUAAUAUCCAGUAAAAGCAGAUAAAAUCUCUCACGAACUGGCAUAUACAACCUCUCCUUCACCAUAAUUUUGCUUUCUAGUUUUCUUGCAAAUUUUACUGACAGUUUACAAAGGACUAACAAGGUCAAAAGGAGAAAUAAGAAAAACAAAAAGGACAAGAAGAAUGUGGUUGGACUCUAUAAUAAAAUUGAACCUGAUAAAUAUACAGAAAGAUAUUAAUGCCCAACAAACAAACUUCCCCUAGUCAAGAGUUGUUUCCAUUACUCAUGCAAUAGACAAUACAAAGCAAAUAAGUUAGUAUUUGCAAAGACGCACCUUCUUGAGGAUUAAAGAUAAAAUAAGGUAUAAGAUGAUAAGCAGCUUGGACAAUUUUAGGAAGAUCCCUUGCCUGCAUUUCAUUAGAGACAACCGUAAGAGUAAAAUAGAUCAAUCCAGAGUCAAAUAUGCUACUAAUUUAAAUUCAAGCCUAAAUGACUGACUUGAUUGCAAUUCAUCAUUGCUAAAUAUUGACUAGUUGUCAACAAAUUAACAAUGAUCUCAUUAAGUGUACCACAAACCAGACUUAAGUCUAGAACAAUAUAGCAGAUGGGAGCAUUUAAUUAGAUAAGUAGGAUUUAGCAUAAUUUCAAUUGAUCUGAUUAUGAGCAUACAGGACGCUGCACCUAAUAAAAAUAAAGUAGCCUCUAGAAGGGCUGCAACGGCCAAGAUGAGGAAAUAGCUUGUACAAAGACGACAUGUCAAAACCAAUGCAUCCAGAGGAAAGGUCACAGCAGUGUUAUGGGUAUUGUCAUCUAGCCUUUCAAUUCUUCAACAGUAAAAGAAUUUGGAAGCUAACUCCUUCAAGGAUCUUUUCUUGCAAAUCCUUUUUCAAUCAGUUGAUUGAUGAUUAAGAUCUCUUGAACUUUCAUAUGAUUUGAAAUGCUAAAGUCCCUAAUAAAGUUCAACCUUUUGCUUGGUUAUUGGCUCUAGGUAAACUUAGCACUGGUGAUGUUAUUCAAAGAUGGAACCUUAACGUGUGCUUGUCUCAUUCUUGGAGUGUCGUGUGCAAGAGAAAUGGUGAAAAUGCAGAUCAUUUGUUUUUGCAUUCUCAUCAGGCUGCUCAGUUGUGGCAUCAGCCAGCUAGUAUUUCUUCAGUGAUGCCAACUUCUAGGAAUUCUCCGCUUUCAGAAUUUAUUCAUACUUUUAGGAAAGGUGAGAAAGCUAGAGUGUUGUGGAAAUGUUCAGUUCUAGCCAUUUUCCAGGUGAUUUGGUUUGAAAGAAAGAAGGUUUUUGAAGAUCUAGGAACACAUCAUCUUUUUGUGGGAAAGAGUACAACUACUAACUUCUCUUUGGGCGUUAGUUACUAAGGAAUUCCAAGAUUCUUCUCUCUUCUUCAUUCAUCUAAACAGGGAAAGGGUGUUGGCUUGAAUUGUGUCUUUAAUUUGCUUUUGUUGUGAGAUCUUAUGGUAAUACAGAUCCUAUACUACUUAUAAAAUCUGAUCAAUAUUCUAUUGAAUAGAUCUUCUUUGAUCUCAAGGGGUUCUUUUUCUGGACGUUUUUCACUUUUGUACAUGUUUUUCUUCUUAACACAAGUUUCUUUGUUUCCUUAAGGAAAGAAAAAAGAGAGAGAGAGAGAGAGAGAGAGUUCUUUCCUAAACCAUACAUUGUUAUUUGUUAGUGUUUUGGUGAAUCAAAUAAGUAAAACUCUUUUUCACAUGUAUUAAAGCCACCCAAACCAAUCUCAUGCAAAGCCCAUCAAGAGGAUUUGGGGAGACAGAGACCAUCCAAACAUCUUGGCACCAUUGACUACCUCUACACACUGCCCAUUAAACUAUUCCUACUAUCACCAUUGCCAAUCUGCCAUCCACCAAUAGCUCACAGCAAGCAUCCAACAUGUAUCAUGCUACUAAACUUAAUCUGAUAUAGGACAUAUCAGUUUAACCAGUAAUAAACAUGGAUUCUUCAGAGCCUUGAGUAAGUUACUUGCAAGACCUAUAUCAAUUAAGUUGGAUUUUUUGAGUGCUGCCUCAGGAACUCCACAAUAUUAUAAUGGGCAGCAUUACAAUAUUGUGGAGACAACUGCACAAUGUUGCAAGAUGAAGAAGAUUUAUAAUGUCUAUAUCCUUUGCCAAUAAGAUAAAAGAAACCAAGAUGCACAAAGAAACUUACAACAUUUGUGGAGACAAUUCCAGGCGAUACACAUACUACAUUAAUCCCAGAUUCAGCAGGCAGUCGCUUCUGAAGGAUGCUACUAAAUUUAAUCUGCAAUCCAAAGGCCAACAGAUUGUUAGUUCCUCCUUUGCAGCUUAGUAAGUAUAUAAUGCAGGAUAUUAAAUCAAUUUUCAUUUCACGUGAUUGUACAGUUUGUAUCAAGCUUUAGAAACAACAGACAAACAAGAUGUACAUUGAUCUAGCAGCAUAGUGGCAACAACUUAUAUGGAAAAGUUGUAGUCACCAACAAGUGAAUGCUAUUAAAGAGAGUUAUAGCAUUCCUCCAAAUUCAGUGUUGUCUAAUUAAUUUUAAGUAUCAUUAAUGAAGAAGAAAGAUUUAAAAAAAAUUCCAGAGGUUCAAAAUGGAAGCACUCUCUAACAAUGAGAAAACUGAAAUGGAUGAGAGAAAUUUUCAGUUGGAGGACUGAACUGUUAAUAUUUUUUAUAUUUUACAUUUCUGUUAAGAGAAAUCAAAGAGAAAUUUACAUAUACUUUUUAUGAAAUUUAAUUCUCAAGUUUUCUCAACUACUGAAUUUAACAGUGACUGAAUUCAUUCUUCACAAUACACUUAAUCCGAUGAGCCUGUGAGCAAAAGAACAAAGCCCAAAUGUACCAACCAAUAGGUCCAACACAGUUUCUAGACUAAUUUUGCUUAAAUUUGCAUGUGAAUUGCUCAUAAAUGCCUUUUAAGCUACGGCUUCACAACUUUUGCCAAAAUGAAACACAUUUAUCCAUUAAAGUAGUUCAACUUUGCUCUGAUUCUAAAAAGUACCUCAUCAGGAGUAUGAAGAUAUGCUGAUGUAUGUGUAAAUGCAAAUCUGCAUUUGCAUGACAGCAUGAGUGUAAUUAUGCAUGUACGCAUGUCAACGUGUAUUAGAAUUUAUAUUCUUCAAGAAAAAAAAAAGGUUGAGAAAGCAUAUAAAAUAACUUUUUUUAAGGAGCAUAUAAAAGAACAUAUUAAAAUGACAAGCAUAAGCAACUUUGAUACAGGCUGAAAAUGGAGACUAUAACAAUUUCUUUGUUCAUUUAUUAAAUGAGGAUAAUCCCUCACAGUAUAUUGACUAGUACAAAAUAGUACUACUGAUUAAAGCUCAAUAAUUUAGUAGAUGAUUAACAGAUCCUUAACAGGAACUAGCUCCACCAUGAUUUCUUGAUUAUCAGAAAUACUUAAAACUAGAAAAUAAAAUAAACCAUGAAACCAACAACAAUUUUGAGUAAUCAAAUUGUUACUAACUUUUUGUUUCUAACUUCACCUGAGCUAACUUGCUGCCUGAGUAUCCCGUUAAGCUUGUGUAUUUUCUCUUCCCAGAAACAACAUUCAUAUCUUCUGUGUCAACAAAGCCAACAUAAUGCAUCUGCACCCAAAAUUAAGGACAAAUCACUUGGUGAUACAAAGGUAGUAAUGGAAAGGUAAAAGUAUAAGAAAGACUCACAUGCAUCACAAUAAAUCAACAAUUAAUUUUGAAAAAUCUCCAAAGCCUCCUAAUAGGUCUCCAGCCACAAACCCCAUACAGCACCAAAAUAUGCAAUGGGAAAGAUUUUGCGAAGUGCUAUAUUCAGCAUCUUCGAAUCUAGUCCAUUGUGUUUCAUACAACCCAAGAGACCAGAUUGGCAAAAAACAAGAAUCAAAGAUCCCAAGAAAUAGAACAAUGCAAUUUUCCUUUAUUUUUUUUUAAGGAAAAAGAGGGUGCAACCCAAUAUACAAGUAGUAAAAAAGAAUAAAGUCCAAUAAGAAACCAAAAAUUAAACGCUUACUUCUAAUUACUUUCUCGUAAAGAUCAUAGCCCAGUAAGCUAGGUUUUAUAAAAAAUAAAAUAAAAUAAAAUAAGGGACCUAUUGGAAAGAACUAUCGGCAAAAAACAAGAAUCAAAGAUCCCAAGAAAUAGAACAAUGCAAUUUUCCUUUAUUUUUUUUAAGGAAGAAGAGGGUGCAACCCAAUAUACAAAUAGUAAAAAAGAAUAAAGUCCAAUAAGAAACCAAAAAUUAAAUGCUUACUUCUAAUUGGUUUCUCGAAAAGAUCAUAGCCCAGUAAGCUAGGUUUUAUAAAAAAAUAAAAUAAAAUAAGGGACCUAUUGGAAAGAACUUUGGUAUUCAGAAUGUACCUCCCCAGAACACCAGAUGAUGAAAUUAACAUCAACUAAUUUACCCUUAAUGAGACAUAGAAGAUGAGAAAAUAAUCAGACAGUUGUCUGUUUAAUUUAUUCAAUAGAUAGAAAGGUUAACAUUGAAACUACUAUAAGGACACAAGUUGAAGUCAAGCUAUUUUCAAUAUCACUAUUCCACUGAUACUCCAUAAGAACACAUUCCAACAUUUCCAUGGCCGUGACCAUAAUCUCCAUAUGUCUACUUUCAAUGUGUUGCACCCAAUUGACCCUUACAAUCAAUAGACAUACAAUAUGAUGGGAAUAUAACAUCUUUUUUCAUCUUUAACAAUAGCAAACAUGCAAAAAUGGAAGUAAGUCAUGCAAAUAUACAUGUCCAUGUACAAGCAAGCAUAUAUAAAACAAAUCAGUUAAGGAACUUACAACAGAAUUCACAUUAAUAAUUCGACUUGGAGAGCCUCUAAUAAGUGAUGGAAAAAGCAAAAUUGAAAGUAAUGCUGGAGCCAGAUGAUUCACUUGCAUGUGCUCUUCAUACCCAUCUUUGGAAAAUUUUUGUGGUUCUGUACAGAGCAACAAAAAGUACAUCAGCAAAUGACACUGGGCUUUCUAUAUAUUGCAAUUGACCACUAUAAUACUUUUCAAUUGCAGUAGCUAAGGUUGCUAAAAAUUACAACUUUUCUACUAAGAGCACCUAAAUCAUUGGUAAUACUUAAGAGUGCUUACUGAACAACAAUCAUUCAAAAGCAAAACAGAUUGUCAUGGAAGGAAAGAAUUUCCAUGAAAGAAACGAAAAGAAAUAUGCAUAUUAAUUAAGACAAAAAGAUUUUUCUAGACAAUGAUCAUGAUCAUGGGAUCAACUUGAUUACUGGCCAACAUGAAAUUAUACUCACAAGGAUAAUAAGAGAAAAAGGGUGGAACUUCAAUCAGAUCAACAAGGUUCAGCCGAGGGCCAAAACUUUUUUAAGGGAAGGUAGGCUAGGAAAAGGAUUGACGACAUUUUUCCCUUUUUUUUCCAAACUCAAAUUAGAUCAGAAUCAAGUUAUCAAUAAUUAAAUUGACAUGAAAUUUUACAAAAAAAAAAAACCUACAAAUUAAAAUAUUCAUUCUAUCAUAACUGAAAAGAUUAACAAAACAAGAAUAAGUUAACACAAAGUUGUGAGUAAACUUUCUUCACCCUACUCACACUUUUACUCUACUCCUUCCAAAGGGUUUGUUGUCAAACAUGUGAGAAAGUCUCAAAAAUAACAGUUAUCUAUUAAUUGCUUCGAGGACAGCUUUAGAAAAUGUCAAAAAGUUAUACUGCUUCAGGAAAUAAGGCCAUGGUAUAUAGCUAUAGUGCUCAAGAUAUCAUUAUGGACCCUUCCAAAUAUCAUGACAAGAAUGUUGUCUCUAACAGCUCUUUAGUGUGUCAAUUUCCAUCUACUGUAGUGAAAUUACAUUAGUUCAUACAAGAAACUUUGUGCUGCACUAAAUGUUAAGGAAGAGGGACCCAGCAAAACAAGGAUUAGUACCAAGACUAAAACCAAAGUAUGCACUUAUUUUUCAAGAUUUACCUAUGUUAUCUCUUUUACAGGACAUCAUCUCUAUCCAGCUAUUACAUCUUUGCAUCAUCUAUUCGUGGCAUCAUACACCAAGGACAAACAAAGGAACUAUGGCAGAAAUUGGAAAUGCUGCCACCUAACUAGUUUGACUGUGGAGAUGGUGGUUAAAACUAAGAAACAACUUAUUUAGCCAUAAGCAUCCUCUUAGAAGGUUUAACUACACUAACAAGUGAAAUAAACAAUAUAUUUGCAUCCAAAAAAUUUAGAUGGUCUGAUGUUGUGGAUAAUGCAAAACCUCUCGACGAAAGCAUGUCAUAAGAAAAAAUAUUACUCUAUUAUUAAUAAGAAAAUAAGAAUUUGCAGUGAAUUCAAGAUUUGAAUCAUCAACAAGGAAGUAGAAUUACAUCUAAUAGAAUGCUCAAAAUGAAUUACCUCCAAUGGAAAAUAUGCCUGCAUUGUUUAUCAGAACAUGCAAAGGUCCUAAACGUCCAUUCCAAGCCUCGGAAAACCUCACAACAGAAUCCAAUGAGAGUAGAUCGAGUUCCAUAGCCUUGAGCAGGGAGGGAAAAAAAAAACACUCACUUCAGCCAUUUCGAACUAAAAUGCUAAACUAGCUAGUGAUGCGCAACUAAUUAAAAAAAAAAAAAAACAGUGGCCAGCAUUGUUGCAAGAGUAAAUAUAGUUUCCUCUGCAGCUGAGUGAGACUCAAAAGCACUUUUGGUUUAUUUCGUGACGUUUUCUUGGACAUACCAACAUAUUAGUCAUCAUGUACUCUGUUUCAAUAAAUUAAGCAGCAACGAACAGAGACUUAUAUUUAAAUACCUCAAUGUUGAGAGGAAGGCCCUUUCCAGACCAUUCCUCCUGCCAUUUCUGAAUCAACUCAUUAGCCGCCUUUAAGUUCCUCACUGCCAUAACUACAUGAGCCCCCGAUUCUGCCAAUUGCCUGCUCAAGCACAUAAAGUGAGAAAUUAGGGUUUCAAUACAACUGAAAGACUAUAAAGAAAUUGGAAAUGAAACUAAAGUUUAAUAAUUUAAAAAUAAUAGCUUUGUACCGGGCGAUUUCUCGGCCGAUUCCGCUGGUGGAUCCGGUGACAAUGCAGGUGAGAUCGUUGACAGGUGGCAAAGGCAGAGGAUUCUGCAAAUGACUGGCCAAUAUUCUUUGAAAUAGCAUCUCGUAUAUGACGUACAACCAGCCUCUUAGCCACUCCAUCCAUCCCAGGGCUUCCUUUCUCUUACUCUUGCUUAUUAGUUCCGCCGCUGACGGCGACGAAGUCGAAGAAGAAGACGACGUCGUUUCCAUCUCUUGGCCUUUAUCGGGUGCUUCUUUUUUAUUUUUUUAUUUUUUCAAAGAAUCUCAAGUAAGAUCUGUCUGCUUCGAUUCUGUUCCUUUUGUGUGUGAGGAGUCGAGAAGAGGGAGGAGCAUCUUUUUAAUUUAUUGUUUUCAAGAAAGUAAUUAAUAAUAAGGGGAAAGCGACAAAAAGGAUUAGAGUCUAAUACAGUCGUAAUCAACAAUUGAUUUGUCAUUUGACUUUCUGUUGGGGCUUUUUGAAGUCAAGUGGCCGUGCCCUGUCAUUAUUUCAAUUGGACCGACCCUUUUCGGAUUGGGAUUAUUAUUGGUUGAUUCCAAAUUAAAAUUAUUUUUAAAAAAUUAAAAAGUUAAUUUUAAUAUUUAAAAAAAAAACACACCGGUUUAUAUAGUGUUUAUUUUUUAUAGUGCGAGUGAGAAGUAUAAAUUCUUCUCACUCCAGUGUUUAUUUAUAAUUUUUAAAAGAGGAGGGAGAAUCCCACUCCGUGAGCCCCAUCUAAUUUUGGAUUGGGGAGUGGGAAUCCCAUGGAGGAUGUGGUAGUGGGAAUCCACUCCCUCUCUUUUUUUUUUUACUCUUAUAUUUAAAAUAAAAUAAAUAAUAUCAUAUUUAUUUAAAUCUGCUGNNNNNNNNNNNNNNNNNNNNNNNNNNNNNNNNNNNNNNNNNNNNNNNNNNNNNNNNNNNNNNNNNNNNNNNNNNNNNNNNNNNNNNNNNNNNNNNNNNNNNNNNNNNNNNNNNNNNNNNNNNNNNNNNNNNNNNNNNNNNNNNNNNNNNNNNNUACAUCCGCCUUGGCCGUACAGCAGUUUACAUAAUUAAGAAUAUUAUUAAUUAUUAUUAAUUUAUAAAUAUAAUAUAAUAAAUAUUUUAUUUUUCAAAUAUAUUUUUUAGCAAUUUUGUAAUUAAAAAUUAUAAUUCUUUAAAUAAGGGUAAAAUUAUAAUUUAAAAUCAUUUACUCUCAAUCCUAGACAAUUCCAUACUUUCACUCCAAUGUAAGUAAACAACCUACUCUCACUCUCAUUCCACACUCCUAAUCACAAGAUUCUCACUCCUCAAGAUUCCCACUCUAAUCCAAAAUGUAAACGAUACCUUAAUGUUUAAGAGUUAGUUUGGGAUUGCGAUAUUGUUGAUGAAAUAAGUUGUCUCAAUUAAGUUAAUAAAAUAAUAAUACGGUUGAUAAAAUGAGUUACUUUAGUUGAGCUAAUAAAAUAAACUGCUUCUAUUGUAUUGAUAAAAUAAGUUGUCGAACUAAAAAAUAAAAAUAAAUGUUUAGUAAAAUAUGUUGUUGUAAUUGCUAUAAAUUUAAAAAGUAGAGUAUGUGUGUUUAGUAGAUUUUAUUAUUAAAGUAUUGUUUCAUUAUAUAAUCAUUAAAAUUGACAUAAGUUGCCUGUUAUUUUCAAGUAAAUUUAAUAAAUUUUUUAAUUUUUUUAACCCACAAAUAUAGAUAAAUUAAAAAAUUAAUUUAAUUAUACUGAGCAUUAUAAUAUGUUAUAUAAAAUAUGAUAAAAUUCAUUGCCUAAUACAUUAAUCUAAAUAAAAAUAAAAAGUAAUAUGUAGUUGUGGUAUAUGACAGGGUUAUGAUUUUUACAAUAAGGUUUAUGAAAAAAAUGACAUAAUUUUCUUUUUGUUAAAAUGAUAAUGCCAUAAGAGGAAUUUUAAAAAUAUGUGGUUCUAAAAAGCAACCGCCUACUUUUAAAAGAUGGUAAUGAAAAAAAAAUAUGAAAUAAACAUCUUUUAAACAUUUUACCGAACAACAUUAUCAUCAAAAUUUAUGAAAUAAGUCGCUUUUAACAUUUCAACCGUAAUAUCAGACAGAACCUAAGUGUUUAACAUUUGUUUAGAUAUUUUUAAUUGGAUAAGUAUAAUAUUGUUGGCUCAAAUCUUAAUGUUUAAAUUUUCUAUUUUUUACUUUUACUUUGAUGAAUAGUAAUAUUAACUCAUAGGUCAACAAAAUUCAUGCUUGUAAAUAUGUUUGUUGAGAUUUGAAGUCCAGUCUAGUGUUGAGUCCUACCUUAAUAUAUUACAGUCAAAGAACAAAGCCGAAGCAAGGAAGUACCUACUAAGUUAACUAAGGAAUUGUUGUCAAUAUAAUUCCUUGAACAUUAGCGGAGUUUAAUGAAGGUUUCCCUUUUCUAACUAGAAUUUGAUAUUUUUGAAAGAUUUAUUUCAAAAAAAGAUUAAAAUUGUAUAUUACAUUUCGUUUGAUAUAUACAAACUUAAAAGAUGUAAAGGUAAACUUAAACAAAAAUUAAGGGCAAACGGGUGCAGAUUUGCCUUGCGAACUAAGAAAACUCUAUUGAUCGCUAAUUCUAAGUUAGAGCUUUCUCUUGCUUCUUUAAAAAAGAAUUAUUUAGUUUCUAUUAAUAUAUUUAUAAAAGGUCAAAACUAGGGUUGGUAACGGAUCGAAAUAAAACAUGUGUUCCAAAUCCUAUUUUGAACUUUAAAUUAAAACAAAAAUGUGUCUCGAUUUGGUUCUCGAAUCCUGAUUGGUAUCCUAAAAUAUUUCGAAUAAUGUAAGUUUUAUAUUGUACACUAUAGAUUCUGUCAUUACUGACAUGUCGCACUCCUAUAACCUAUAUGUGAUAUACAUUACUUAUAAAUACAACGUGUUAUAUAAUUAUAACCUACAUAUCAUAUAUAUUUUAUUUAUCAAACUGACAUGUCAUUCAUUUAUGAAGAUUCAGAUUUUGAGUGUUAUUCUAGAUUUCGAUGAGAAUUUUUAAAUGUCCUUAAUCCCGUUCUAAAUAGUUAAUCGAGACAAAUUUUGAUCUCAAACCCUCACCUAAAUAGUAAAUUCAAAUAAAAUUUUGUACUAAAUCCCAUUUCAAAUAGAUCGAGAUUCCAAAUCUUGAUUGGAAUUCGACAAAUUCUGCCAACCGUUGCCAAAACUCACCAUCCCUAAUUAGUAUUUUAUUAAUAAUUUUGUGUCUCUAAUUAUUACUUAAAGAUGCCUCCUCCAAAUGAAAUUGCUUACUCCCGUGAACGAUAUUUCAAUUUCAUAUUAUAUUAUUUAGUGUGUAUUGUAUUUUAUUAUAAUUAUUUAUCGUUUUCAAUAUUUAUAGAUGCCCCCCGUUUUCACAUAACCUCUCACGCAGCAGCGACGAUAGUAUAGCUCACUAUGUCAAAACGACAUUGACUCUUCAGGAAACGACCGGACCUUCCAAUAAAAUUGUUUGGAGCUCAAAUUUUGCCAAAUUCUUUGCAGAAUUGCAUCGUCAAAUUUCAAAUAUCCAACGGACAUUCAAAAAUGUGAAUUAUAUAAUAUGAAUUAAUAUAAUUUUCUCACACUAAUUUAUAUUACUUCUUCAAAAAAUAAAUUCAAAAAUUUACUCCCCUAAUAUUGGUAGAGAUAUGUAAAAUGAGCUUAUAAUGCUCUAAAUCAUUUCAUGCCUAAUGAGAUUAUGAGAGGCCGCAUACUCAGUGACAAUUAAUAUCAUUUCUUGAUAGCCAGCGGUUUAUACAAAUAUAUAUCAGUCAUUUUUUCAAGCAACUAUAUUAUAAGAUAAUAUACCUACACAACUCAGCAAUGUUUGAUAAGUUUUAUUGUUUUUUAGAUAUUUUUACUUUUUAGCUUUUGUGAUUUUUGAAUCUGUAAUCAUGUGUAAAUAUGAUUUUUUAUACUUAAUGUAUCAAAUCAUGUACGUAUUUUUCAUAUAUAUAUAUAUAUGAUAUAUAGAAAUUAGAAGAUACUUUAAUAUGCUUUCGGAGGGUUUAAAGCUUUGCGAAUUAAGAUAUUUAUAAUUUUAACUUAAUUAGGAUUUAGGAUUUAAGAUGCAAGUGUACUCAUUUUACAAUUAUGUUUUCAAUUAUUCUCCAUCUCUCUUCUAUUUACAGAAAUUUUAAAGUAAAUGUCUCCAUUAAAAAUCUUAAAUUAUAUAUGAGAACACAGUUGUGAUUUUAAUUUCUUUGUUCCAUAAUUCAGGCAUUGUCAAAUAGUUAAAUUUUGUUGACUUUCUGAUGAUGAUGCUUGGAAUAUGAGAUAAGCUACCUACUAAUUUCAUAAUUUGUUUCUUCUUUUGUUAAGUAAAAAAAAAUUAAAAAAAAAUACUAAUUGGGAUAUAAAAUUCACCACAUCAUGAAAUUUUAUUAUUUAAUUAAUAAAUUACAAAAAAGAAUGAUCUCCAUGGGAGGGAUCGAGCGACUGUGGGUAUAGUAAUAUAGACCAGAGUCCGUUGAGAAACGUAACGUGCACGCGCUGGGUAAGCGAGUCGCGACUGCUGCAUGCAGCCUCCACAGCAACCAACAAACAAACAAAACUAACCACCUGUGACACUUUUCCCUCUCUCUCGCGCUCUCUCACUCACCUCUGCAUAGUAUAUAAAGCGCACUCACUCUGCUCCGCCUUCAACACCGUCUCAUUUUGCUCGAUUCUCUUCUACUUCACGCUGCUGCUGGUACUCUAUCUCUCUCUCUAGAAGCUUCCAUUCUAAUUAUCACCGACCAAUCAAGCAUUGAUCAUCAUCGACAUCCUUUUGUUCAUGAUCAUCAUGAUUGACGAUGAUCAUCAAAUCAAUUCGAGAUCACUUGAUCUACUGUUCUUAUAAUCGUUAUUACUUUGUUAAUUUCCAGCUCCGUUUAUUUAGCAUUAUAUAUCGAUAUACAGAAACACAAGCACACAUCUCAUGCAUGCUUAAUGAACGCAUGUACGUUGUUUUUGUGGAGGUUAAUCAAUUGUUACUCUUUUGGUUGCAGGGAAAAUAUAUAUAUAACAAGAAGGAAAAACUAAUGCAGGCGACAACGAUGAUGCCUCGCUGGGCGGUGAAGGCGAUCUUACUAACUGUGAUAAUCUCCAUUCCGUUUUCCGGUGUUUCGGCGACUAACCACACCGUCGGUGGCCCCACCGGGUGGGAUCUCUCUUCCAACAUCCAAGCUUGGUCUGCUACAGCCACCUUCCACGUUGGCGACACUCUCGGUAUAUACAUUCAUCUUCAUGCACUUAUUAUGCACUGCUUUAUGCUUCAUUACUAGUGUUUGGCUGCUAGGAAUAUAUAUAUAUAUAUAUAUAAAAGAAAAUGACGGAUUCCUUUUUUUAUGAUUAAUUAGCUUAAUUAUCUCUAUAAUUAGCUUCAGUUACUGCUUUCAUUUUGUAUUUGAUUGUUUGGCUGCCGGGGAAAAAAAAUAUCAAAGAAAAAUACGGAUUCUUCUUUGUUGACGUUAAAGAACUUAAUUAACUGUGAAUGUAAUGGUCAAAUUUCAGUUGACUUGUACUUAAAAUUACUUAAAAAGCCCUGAGACGAUGCCUCGUUCCUUCUUCUACUUGUUUGGCGGGCGCGAAAAUUGAAAGAAAACGAAGGAGUGAUUUCUUUUCGUCCAAUUUCGCAGCAGCCAAACGACAACGUUUCGAAAACUGAAUUAGUGAAAUAGUUGUAAUUUUGAAAUUUCGAUCGAGGCAUAUUUGGUAAUGAAUAAACUAGUGCUUCUUUUAUAAAUUAGAGAGGGCAUAUUUGGAAAUGAAUUAAAUGGUUCUUAACGGAAUUGGAGGAUGUUUUUUUUAUUUUGUCGUGACUCGCGUGUGCAGUGUUCACAUACACUCCGCUGCACGAUGUUCUAGAGGUGAACCAACUGGAAUAUGCCACGUGCCACACGGUCAAACCAAUCGGUGCCCACAAUAGCGGCGACACCGUGGUGCCGUUGAUUGAACCGGGUACCCGCUACUUCAUCUGCGGGCGAAACGGCCACUGCGCCUCGGGCCUCAAGUUCCGCGUGGACGUCCUUCCUCAGCUCGAUGCCAACGUCACCCGCCGCACCCCGAGAUCACCCCAUCGUUCUCCGCCUUCACCGCCACUGCGCCAUCCCCCUCCUCCUCCUCCCCCGACGAACUCAUCGUCGGAUGGAAAAGAGCCAGACAUUCCUUCUGAUCCGGGCUUUGACUCUCCCGGACCUUGUGGGAACUCAGCUGUUGGCGAUAUGAUCACCGAUUGGUUCUCAUAUAGCUGGUGGGUCCCGCUGGCCACCACUCUGCUAGUCUCUCUUGACUUCCCAGGCUUUAGCUUUGCUUAGCGUUUGAUGAUGAUAUAUGCUCAUGACACCCAUGGUAGUAAAACUUAAUAAUGUCUGCAAAUAAUAAUUGGUGGAUGUUCAUUAUCAUGAUCAAUUUGUUAUACGGUGAUGAUUUGCCUGUCGGUUUUCUGAAAUGAUUGUCAAAUUUUGAAUCUUAAUUUGGUAUUUUGAUCGCUGUAAUUGAGGAUUUGGGGCAAUUUUGUUUUUGAAAAUAGCCACUUACUAAUGAGAGAAAUAAUUAUCGCAAGAUAACAAAGCUGUAAGUUCAGCAGGAGCUUUGUUUAUCUAAAAACAACAAUUUGGCUUCACCAAUGCUAAUUUAUAUAACUUGUGAGUCAUUAAAUUACAAACGCAGGAACAAAGUUAAUCACAACAUUAGCAACAUCCUUAGCCAACAUUAGGAACAUCCUUAGCUAGAUCUUGAAUCUCGUGAACUAGCCAUCCAAUCUCACUCCAGCUUGAAAGCUUGCUAGUAAUCAGGUUAAUCACCUUUUGUGAAUCCAAUUCGAUAAUAAAAAGGAUAAAUCCCUAUUAAUUUGGCCAUCUUAAAACCUUCAUAAAUAGCAAAUGCUUCAACAAAUUCAACGUCGUCCGGAAAGUGAUGUCUUCAAGUUGCUGCAGCCAUGACUCCUCCUUGAGAGUUCCUUAUAGUUGCUCCUAAAACCAACCAAUCCUCUAUAGAGCUGGGCAUCGGAUCAGAUUUGGAUAGUUUUGAUUCAAUUCGAUCUGUACAAAUUCAGAUCAGAUUUGGAUUUGCAAUCAAAAAUCAAAUCUGAUAGGAUAUGAAUUGUGUGAUCCGAUCGGAUUUGAUUAGAAUAAGAUUGGAUUCGGUUUGAUCCAAAUAAUCCGAUCGAAUUCACACACAAUUAUUUACCAUCACCUACCCGCCAUCUGGAAACAUUCUCUAUAACUUCUCUCCCCCAGAGUAAACUCCUCCGAAAAUACAAAAGGUUCGACCGCAAUUACUUUUCAUGAACUCCAAUAUCUAGCCUUGAGCACCCUAAAUAUUAAUGAUUUUGGACAAUGAAGUAACCUCCAACAUUGCUUGCCCAGAAGUGCUUGAUUAAAAGCUCCAAGCUCAUGAAAGCCUAACCCACAAUCUUUUUUCGUCACACGCAUCUUUUCCAAUCCAUCCAGUGAAUAUUUCUUGCUUGCACAUUAGAUUCCCACCAAAAUUUUGCAAUGAUUUUUUGAAUAUCAUCACAAAGGAUUGAAGGAAGCUUAGAAACACUCAUGGCCACAGCUUUGAUCAAAACCUCUUUGUACCCACUAGAAAACUUUCUCCUUCAAAUAAUGGAAUGUCUCAACAACUCCAGCUUGUCACAUUUUCAAAUUAGGAACAAACCAAAAAAAUAUUCUUCUUUACCUCCUUAUUUGAUUAACGAACAUAUAUGUGGCUGCAUUGUAUCCAAGGUUAGGAACCAGGAUGCUUUUGUUGAAGUAACUUUUGUACAACUGAACGCUCUAAAUCGGCAGCAAAAGCAACUGAGUACAUGGGCAUUUGAAGAUACAUGCUCAGAUUAUUCAUAAGUAGUAAAUUAUGGUUUCCUUUGGUGUUAUGACAAAGCUAUACAUUUACAUUUGACUACAAACAAGAUUUCAAACCUAAUCAAUUACCUAGACAAAAGGUUAAAUGUAUAAUUUGAAAAGGGAGAAUUUGAAACAAGAUUUUGAUACCUCCAGGCGGCAUUGGCAAGAUUGAUGGAGCCCUAAUUGCAGCACUCAAUUUGAUUGAUCUGUCAGUGGUUGGCGUAGAUUAGGAUGUAGACGCACAUCAGCAACAAGCAAAUUCGUUAUAGAGAGUGGGCGGAAGUUCACCAUUUACAAAGAUCCCAAAAGCAUAAUAAUGCGUUGGGUGUGACUAUUUAAAUCCACCAAUUUUAUUUUUAUAUCUUUUUUUAGAAUAAGAAUUUUAUUAUCUAAAUAAUUUUUAAUAAAUUAUUUAAUUAAUUAUUUCUUCUUCUUCUUUUUUCAUUUCAAUUCACAAAUUCUCAUCAGUCUCUCUUAAAUAUAUUCUCUUAACUGCAAACGAUUGAUAUUACAAAUUAAGAGGAAUAGAAUUUACUAUUUAAAAUUGAAUAUCAAAAAAUUUUUAUCAGCCAUGAAAGUUAAUAAAUAUCAAGAAAUUUAUUUUUUCUAAAUACAAAAAAAUAUAUAUAGAAAGUAUGAUAUGAGAGAUCACUAUCUAUUAAGAAAGGUCAAAAAAAUGAACUCAAAAGAGAGUGAAAUUAAGUAUAUAGUUUACAGAAUAUGAGAGUAGAGAGAGAAUAUGCAAUUGUAAGGUUUAAAAAAAAAAGAUUAGUAAAGGAUAAUUUUAAAAUCUUUAAAUUUCAAAAUUUUAAUAAUGAAUUUAUAUUUUAAAAUCGGUGUAGAGGAGAAUUUGAUAGGAUCAAAUAGUCCCACCCAAACCUACCUUUCAUUUCGAUUUCAAGCUUCAGAAAAUAAACUAGUGUUACGCUAUUCGCCUGCAAUUUUAUAUUUUCUAUAAUUUAAAUAAAUCUCCAAAACUAAAUCUGUUCCAGUGCUUUGAUCUAACAUAUAUAUAUGCCCAACAAUGAAUCUUGCUUUAUUGUUUAAUGUGUUGAAUGUAACACAAGAACUAAAGAACAGGCCUGGGAUUUUGGCUUCUUUUGAUGGCUUAGCAACAAGAUUGCCAGCGUCUAUAAUGAGACUGGGAUGUUUUGUUUUUGUUUUUUGUUGAAUGUAUUGAUAUAAGGAAAGUUUUUAACUUACUCCCAAAUAAAUUGAUAUUUUACACCGCGUCCCCAAUAAAUUUGACUUGUUGCACCGCGCCCCCAAUUUCGUUAUUUUCUCAGUUAAGUUUAACGGUGGAGGGGUAAAAUUGGAAGUUCAUUCCUUAAAUUAAUUUUAAUGGGAAUUCUCUUUAUUGCAAUUGAAAUAAAAAAAACUUUAAAAAAUUAAAGGAAAAUUAAUAGUGGUGACAAUGUACAUGUAACAAGAAAUUUUUUUAUUGCAAUUAAAAUAAAAAUCUUUAAAAAAUUAAAGGAAAAAUAAUAGUGGUGACAAUGUACAUGUAACAAGAAAAUUUUUUUAUUGCAAUUGAAAAAAAAAACCUUUAAAAAAUUAAAUGAGCUAAAUAUUUUGUUUUUUUUUUCAUAUAGAGGGGUAUUUUUAUCAUUCAAUCAAAAGUUAGACGGAGCCGUUAGAAAUAAUUGAAAAAUUAACGGAAUUGGGGACGCGGUGCAACACGUCAAUUUUUUUGAGUGCGCGAUGCAAAAUGUCAAUUUAUUUGGGGGUAGGUUAAAAAUUUCCCUUGAUAUAAAUACGGGCUGUGCUUCUUUCUAAUACCAACGACACAAUUACUGUUGUAUGUCAUAGUGAAAGUUUAAUACUGAAAUGUUGAUUUUUUUCAUUUAAGAUUUGGAUAAGAAAAUUUUAAUUUAAUAUUUAUUCAUUUACGAUAAAUUUUUAUUUAGAUCUUUUUCUUUGAUUCUUGUUUUUUUUUUUUAAAAAAUUAUAUAACUUCACGGCAAUGUACAAAUCUACAAAAUGGGUAUUUGAUUGAAAUUAAUUUAUUUUAACAUAAAAUAUUGAAGAUUAAAUUUUUUUCUAAUUUUCAAAAGAGGGCACGAGUUAUUUGUAGGGGAGUCAUGAUUCUAGGAGAAAAUAGCUGAGAGGAAUUCAACUUGAUAAUUCCUGACAUGAAAUUUCAACUAGAAAAUAGCUCAGAGUAAAGCUUUUCCUUAGAAGCCUUGAACAACGACCUGACAAACGGAGAUGUUCAUGAAUAUCUUAGGGAAGAAAAAUGAGUAACCCACAAGACGCGAUGCGUGGGUGACUUGCAGGGCACCCUGUUCGUUUAGUGCCUAAUACCAUUUGUUUUUGCAAUUUGUUUGAUUGGCAUAUAACCCAAAGUUUCUCCGCUUGGGUUGGGAAAAUGUAUUAUCCUCUAUUGAUCAAAUUGCUAUAAGCCUAUAACAUUCAGCAUAUCUUGGGCAUCCUUAUUACCGUAUCAUUACUUGACAUGAAUAAUGUUUUCUAUCUAACUUGAGGAUAAAAAUAACACAAAUAUAUGUAUUCAGUCUCAUCUUUUCUCCAAGCUGUCAUGCUUGUAACAUGCAACGAAUCCAAAUUCUCCAUUGUUAACUCAUUUGAACGAUUGUGAAAACACAUUAGAGAAUUCCCAGUGAAUUAGAGUCCUUUUCUUGUCAAAUCUAAAGUGAAAACCGGUAUGAUUUGAAUUUAGUUGGCAUUUUAUAGAAUGAAUUGGGGGACAUGGUAAUGAGACUUUGAAAAAAAAUAAAAAAAAGUAAUGAAACUUUAAAAAAAAAAUAAAAAAAAAUAAAAAUAGAGCAGAAAUCAUUUAUGAAAUAAAAUUCAACUUGCGUUUUGCCGCGAAUGGUGAUAUGUUGUUUGGCAUCUCAGUGAAGAAUUUUCAACAAUUGACAAAUAUAAUCCAGAAACUUAAUAAUAUUGAACAUAGAUUUUAAUUUAAAAAAAAAAAUCUAUCGAGUAUCAGAAUGUUAAUCACAAGAAACAAGUGUGAUUUUUCAGUGAAAUCCUGAGAUAAACCAAGAAUGUCUGUUAAUAAUUUUGUGCAUUUUUUUUAGGAAUGGGAUUUCAGCAUUUCUAAUUAAUAUGCAACUUUCUUAUAAAUUAAUUACAAAAUAUUAACAAAUUGUAUGCUUAAUUUUAACCUAAUUUUUGCCCAUAUAUUCAUCAUGCCUUUUACAAUGUCAACAGUUUAAAGUACAUUAAGCCAUUCUAUUGUACAUGAUACACAUGAUAUAUUAAUGGAAUAAUUUGAAGUUGAAAAUUUAAGUUGAAAUAGCCCACCCAAGUUUAUGGUUAAUGUAUUGUAAAAAAAAAAAGUUCAUGCUUAAUGUUAAGCUGUGGGGGGUCUUUGAUAGAAUCCUAAUUUAAAUGGAUAUAUUUUAUAUUUAAGAAAAAUAUGAGUACCUAUCUAAUAUUUACCUUUAUUCAACUGUUUUACCGUUGGAUAUAUAUAUAUUUUUUUUAAAUUUGCAAUGCCAAUUAAUUUAUUACAAAAAAAGAAAAGCAUUCCCCUGACUGAUGUUGAAAUCCGAAACCUAAAAUUUACGAAGUGCCCAAAAUAGCUUUCACCAUCACCACCGGACCGAGACAGACGGCCUCACCAUCCACGCGCCGCCGCCGAUUUUAAUCCACCAUCAGCUGCUUCCGGCGCUCUUUUGUUGUCAUUUCCGGUAAGCCCUUUCUUGUUGCAACUUUUCCAGCUUUCAUUUUUUUUUUAAAUUGUUGAUUGUUUCUGUUUGAAAUUUUCCAGCCACCGUAUUCAUGUUUAUUGUUUAUUAUUUAUGUAAAAUGCACAUAAUGAAAAAAUCAUUCAAUUUUUUUUUUACUAAUCUGAUCGCACGUAAAUUGAGAAGCAUGAAACACUAGAUAAAAAUGAAGUAAUGCACAAGGUAGAUCCUGCUCAUCAAUUAGUUGUAGUGAGCAAAUUCAUUUCAUUGCAGUCGCUGAUGUCAAAUAUGGAAGGGGAAGAAACCCCACACCGGCAAAUCCCCGAUGAAACCUUACAGAAGAAACACCAGUCGAUGAUUGACCGACUCGCAGCUCGGCGCCAAACUCGUUUAGAAACUCGCAAACCUGACUCACCCGACUCAUCCUCCACCUCCGCUUUUCUCUCCCGCUUCAAUGACUUUAAGAAUUCCAUCACCACCCAAAUUGAAUCUGCCGCUGAUCCUUCUUGUCUCACUGAUAUCUCAUCAUCAAUCUCGGACCUUGAAAAACUCGUUGCGGAGAAUUCGUACCGUCUCCCCUCCUAUGAAAUCCGAGCCUCUCUCAAAACAAUCUCUGAUUUGAGACAGAAUCUUGAUACGUUGACUGCCCAUAUUGUCCCCAAAAAGAAAUUCUCAUUUAAGAACAAACCCGUCAAAAAAGAAACCCACAUUAUUAACCAAGACACAGAAUGUAAUACUGUUUCGUUGCCAGAGUUAAAAAAGACGAGUCUCCCAGUUCGUGACUCGCCGGGUUUUAGAGACAAACAAAGCCAAGUACUAGUGAAGAACUUUAAGGGUUCAGAAAUAGGUGAAUUUACAAUAUCAGGACUUGACUCAUGUGAGGUGAAACUGGUUGGAAGUGUUAACGCAUUGUUUAUCAACCAAUUGAAGAAUUGUAAAGUUUAUGUAGGACCAGUGAUGGGUUCAAUUUUGAUUGAGGAAGUGGAGAAUUGCCUGUUGGUUUUGGCAUCGCAUCAGAUUCGGAUUCAUUUUGCAAAAAGGAGUGAUUUUUAUCUGAGGGCCAGGAGUCGGCCUAUCAUUGAGGAUAGUAAUGAAGUAAGAUUUGCGCCUUAUUGUUUGAAGUAUAAGGGAAUUGAAGCAGACUUGGAGGUUGCUGGGUUGAAUGAGGAGACAGGGAACUGGACUAAUGUGGAUGAUUUUAAGUGGUUGAGAGCGGUUCAAAGUCCCAACUGGUCAGUUUUGCCCGAGGAGGAGAGGAUUGGGACUGUUGAUUUGGUGGAUCUGGAAUGUGGGAAUGGCACAAUUUAGGUAACUUAAUGCUGUAUUGGGAUUUUUUUUUUUGGGAUAAUUUUUUUCAUUUGUGUUAAUGUUUCUUCUGAAUGGAAAUGGAAAGUAUUGAUGGAUAUUAUUGUUAUUGAUUUUUUUUUUAAUAAUGUUGUUAUAUAUAAGCUUAUUGGAUGAAAUAUAAUGGUUGUUUUUCCUCUGAUUGGAUUAUGGAAACAUGAGAAUGAAUAUUUGACUAGUUAUGUUUGCACCUUACAGGUUUGGGCAUUUUUUAUUUUCUUUCGUCAUUGCACCUGGCUCAUGUUUUAACUUCACAAACUUACAUAGUUUUUGCUUGCGUAUUCUGUUAAACUUAAAAAUUAAACUUCUUCUGGAGACUGAAGGACUUACAUUAAACACAGCUGGCACAAUUUGAGUGAUUAGUACUGCUGAUGUUGUAGCCAAUUGUAAUGCUUAUCUAACUGAACUGUUCUUUUUUUUUUUGGAGUUUUAGAGUUCUAGCUUCUUGCAAGAAUAUUGAAAUUGUAGUUUUUCAAUUUGAGUCCAUACAGCUGCAUGUAUAUGUAGUAAAGAUUAUGCACUUGCAAAGUACUCUACAUAAAUGCUUUCUUCUCUCCCUAUAAAAACAGUGUGAAUGGUGAACAAUUGGGUUUAUUGCUGCUUGUCAGCUGAAAACUAAGGAAACAGUAACAGAAAAAGCGUCUUUUACUCUUCCUUUUUUUUAAAAAAUUUUUUGGCUAGAAAUUUUAAAACUUAAAGAAGAUAAUAAUCAGCUCAAAUCAUAGCAGUCAUGACUCAUCAUUCCUCAUGAGAAUCAACCAAGUAGAAUGACUAUUUAGUAUAUUCCAAACUAUCAACUGAUAAAAAAAAAUUGUCAUAACAAUUGUAUCACAAUUUAUUUAUUGAGAUAAAUAUGAUUAAGUUAGAAGAAAUAUUGUAAAGACCUCCAAAAAUUCUGUUACGGUAGCCAGCAUUGCCGACAUUUUCAAUGCUAAAGUAUUUCUUGCAUUGGGAUAUGUUUACCAAGACUUUUCUGGAGCUUGCAGCUUACACCAUCUCUUAGCACGUCGAAUUGAAUUAGGUCUUCCCUUGCUCUGCAUGACUUUUUAUCAGUUAUAUUGAUUUCCGAAUCUUCAUUUUUGGGCUAUGAUUUUGCAUUCUUUUCUGUGUUGACAGCAAUUGUUUACUGUGUGCUCUAUUUUAGUUUAUGAACCGUGGUUUGGUUGUAACUGUUGCCAACGCCUACUGUAAAGACAAACAGCUUCUGGAUAAGAGAAUUAUUAGCAAGCGUUGUGUGAGCUUUAUUUAGGUAUAUAUUUUCAUAACCUAAGUUAUGCCUCAAUAAUAAAUGGAAAGAAGGUAAUCCCAUUGAUUUGCACUUAUCCAAUGGAGUUCAUUGGCAAUGUGAUGGUAGAAGUCAACUUGUUGCUAGUGUAAGAUUCUUUGGGGAAGAAAGCAGAAGGGGACUUGAAAAUAAUUUGUCAAUAAUAUCGGGUUAUUAACGUUUGCUUGGCGACCUGUCAGUUUAGUGAUUGACCUAUACAACGGAACUUUUUGUUUCUGACUUAACUAGUGGCAGUGAAGUCUGUGGUGGGGGUUGAUGAUGUUUCAGGAAUGCUGCAGCAGCAAAGAGACAGGCAUGUUGGCACCCACAGCAGUGUGAUGACCUACUUCCUAUUCAAUAUACUGUGCAGUCAUUUAUCUUCCACUACAAUGACCUGGGCCAAACCAUCGUGUGAACAGUAGACAACUUCCAGUUUCUGCUUGCUCCAGUCACCAUCGCUCGUAAAAGCGCUGUGGUCCUCCCUGAGGCACCCUAGUGGAAAACAAAGAGGCGGCUCCAACACAAAUCACAGCAAUUGGCCAGUUCUAGUACAAAGGUGAGUCUUCAGGAUGCUGGUCGUGGUAUAUUCCUUUGUCCUUCAAAUUAUUUGGUAAGUGUUGGCUGUGGUCCAAAACUUAAUGAAUGGUAAACAACAUACCAACCGAAUAGUUGGCAGUGAUAAAGAUUAGUAGUUUGGUAUUAUUGCUUCAGAGCAUUUUGAGACACUGGUUGAAUAUGACAAAUUCUAUUUAGAAAUGGAGAUUUGAUGAGUCAAAUUUGGCAUUGGUCUGAAAUCGUUGUUUUGAGUUUGCAGGGAAACUGUGAACUGAAUUUAGUCUGUUGAGUGUUUUCUAGUUGUUUAGAGAUUCGUCUUGUUGGCCUGCUUAUUUUUGGUUAGGUUAUACGAUUUUGCAAUUUUGUUUAAUUUUUGCUUUCCUCUAGAUUGAAAGGAAUUUGCUUUUGUGAGUGUAGGGAUCACAAUUACAAUGCUCGCCAUCAGUGUCGUGGUGGUGAUUCCUAAACGGGAUGUGUCGGUCUUAUUUAAUAUUGAGGUGUUAUAGUUUAAAAAGUUAUCGAUCUCUUAAAAAAAUUAAUUAUGAAAUUAAGGUUAAUAGUAUGUAGUAAGUAAAAUUUUUAAAUAAUAAAUUUUAUAAAAUUAAUAAACAUAUUAUAAGUUUUUCAUCAUAUAAGUGGUGAAUCAAAUUAAUUUAUAAACUAACUAUAAUUAGUGUUUAUAAAAUCUUGUAACUUUUCAUCCUCAGUAUUAAGGUAGCAUUUACAUUUUAAAUUGGUGAGUGAAUCCUAAGGACUGAGAAUCCUAGGAUUAUGAGUGUGAAGUAGAAGUGGGAGUAUGUUGUUUACUUACACUGGAAUGAGAGUAUGAAAUUGAAAUUAGAAUUUAAUUAAUGUGUUUACAUUGUCUUGGAUUGGAAGUAAAUGGUUUCAAAUUACAUUUUUACUCUUAUUUAAAGAAUUAUAAAUUUUAAUUACAAAAUUAAUAAAAAUAUAUUUGAAAAAUAAAAUAUUUAUUUUAUUAUAUUUGUAAAUUAAUAAUAAUUAAUAAUAUUCUUAAUUAUGUAAAUCAUAAUUUUUAAUUAAUUUAAAUUUAAAUUAUGUGAAUAAAAAUGAUUAAUAAUAGCAACACAAAUGAAACAUUAUUAUUGAUAAUAUAGUACAAAAUUAAUAUUUUCUUANNNNNNNNNNNNNNNNNNNNNNNNNNNNNNNNNNNNNNNNNNNNNNNNNNNNNNNNNNNNNNNNNNNNNNNNNNNNNNNNNNNNNNNNNNNNNNNNNNNNNNNNNNNNNNNNNNNNNNNNNNNNNNNNNNNNNNNNNNNNNNNNNNNNNNNNNNNNNNNNNNNNNNNNNNNNNNNNNNNNNNNNNNNNNNNNNNNNNNNNGCCUUGGCCGUACAGCAGAAAAUAAAAUAAAUAUCAUUUAAAUAAAUAUAAUAUUAUUUAUUUUAUUUUACUAAAUAUAAGGGUAAAAAGGGAAGACAAGGGAGUAGAUUCCCACUCCCACCUCCUCUAUAAGAGUGGGAAUCUCACUCCCCACUCCAAAAUUAGAUAGGGUACGUGAAAUGAGAUUUUUAUUCUCCUUAAAAUUUAUAAAUAAACACUGAAAUAUGAUAAAUUCACUCUCCUCACUCCUACUCCAAAAAAUAAACACAACAUAAAUGAGAUAGGCUUGGGAUUGAACCAACACCAAUAACACAAGAAAGUUUUUUACUUUUACCAUGUCAUGUUUGAGUUGAUUUGAUGGUGAAGAGCCAAACUCAUUUAUCUUUUGAUUUUCUUGUUCUGUUUUUUCAUAUCAGCUCAUGUGACAAACAUUUGGUAAAUUGUUGAUAUUUCAACUUUUCUUCCAUCAGAUUUUAAAUUCAUUGUUGAGGCACCAAACUGACUAUCUUUUCUAGAUUUAAUAUCCCAACCAGCUGAUUGGAAUGAUUAAAAUUUGGUGAGUGGCAGACAAAAAAAAACGCUUUCAAUUAGGCCAAUUUAAUGCAAAAUUCUCUUUCCUUUUCAAAAUUACUAAAAGCUAAUUUUAAUUUUCAUUGGCAAAAAGGAAGGGCCAGACAGAUCAUACCAUGGGCCAAAUGUGGGAUCAGCAACACCCCAGCCACAACAACAACAAUAAAGUGAUAUUAUUAUCAUGAUUAAUGUCGUAUUAAUAACAUUAACAUGAUUAGAUGUUGGAGAUAUAAAGUUUUAUGAUUUUAAUCAUUCAAAUUCUGCUUAGAACAGAGUAAAAAUCGGUUUAAAUUCUGGUAUUAUUUAUUAAAAAAAUGAUAAAUUUAAAGCCUAAGAAAAUGCAGUCUUGGGUUUUGAUUCCCUUGCUGAGUGCCGGGCCGAAGACUAUGUAUAAAGAGAAUCCAAGCAAAAGCUGUCAGCAAAAGCACUUUUCUUUACUGUAAAAUUUGACAUCUUUUUUUUUUUUUCCCACUUUUCUUUACUGUAAAAUUUGACAUCUAAUCCAAGCAAAAGCUGUCAGCAAAAGCACUUUUCUUUACUGUAAAAUUUGACAUCUUUUUUUUUUUUUCCCUUCCUGAAAGACACAAACACGUAUUGUGAAAAAAAAGAAACCCCAUUCUGCUUUUGCUUCUGCUUCUGCUUCUGCUUCUGCUUCUGCUUAUGGAAUCGUUUACCUUGAAUUGAAAAUGAGAGUGAUAAAAACCAAAAGCAGGUAUUUGGGAUCCAGCUUUUUGGUGAACCAAACAGAGAAAUGGCAGGGUCCCUAUCUUACAACACCUACCGCAAAAAGAAAAGGAGCUUCUUCAAUUAUGAUUCCAUUUCAUCAUCCAAACGACAAGACAAAACACAUUCAAAACAAGACAAAACAUAAAAUAGAAAAUAUAAAUAGAUAUUAACAAAGAUUGUAAUGUCCUUUAUAAAAUAGAAAGAUUCUUCCAUUGAAAACAUAAUGCUGUGACUUCUACACCAAUGGGCCUUUGAUUUAGUGGGAGAGGUUUUUUCACUUACAUUGGUGGGAAAAAAGUUUGAGCCUUCAUAAAAGUAUUAUAAGGGUUAAUUUUAAUUUUCUUUUAAUUAUUAAAUAAUUGAGUUGAAAUAAUCUUUUUUCUCAUAAAAUAUGAGUGGAGUGUACACUCCAUGAAUAUCAGAGAAAGUUUAAAAAAUCUAGACAAUACUUUAGAAGACAUUCAAUUUGCACGCCAUGAGGAAAUCGCAGUUGUAUAAUAUGUUUAUAAAUAUUAAUUGUAAUCUCUAAAAUAAUAUCAGUAACGGUCAUGUAUAACAAUAUUUAAAAAAAAAAAAAGAAUAGAGUGACUUAUAGACAAGUCGGUGUGUCGUCAAAAUAUGUCUAAAAUUUCCAUUUUUAUUUCCUUUACUCAGUUGAAAAUUUUAUAGGUGAAAUCAAUUGGAUCUAUUAAUUUUUAUAUUACAAUAUCUUUUUAUUUAAGAAUUUUAUUAUCAAAAUAAUUAUUAAUAAAAAUUACUUAAUUAAUCCUUUUCUCUCUUACUCUUUUCAAUUUCACAAAUUCUCAUCAAUUUAUUUAAAUAUAUUCUUUUAGCCGCAAACAAUUGAUAUCACUUAUUAAGAACAAAACUUGCUAUUUAAAAAUGAAUAUCAAUAAAUUUUUAUCAAUCAUGAAAGUUAAUGAGUGUCAAGAAAUUAAUUUUUGCUAAACAUACAAGCUAAUAACUAUUAAAAAAAUCUUAAAUUAUAGAGAUCAUAUAUAUUAAGAAAGAACAAAAAAAGAAUUUAAAAAAUAGUUAAAUUCAGUGUAUAGUUUGUAGGAUGUGAGAGUGGUAAAAGAAUAUAUAAUUGUAAAAUAGAGAAAAAGAAAAAGAGAUUAGUAGAGAAUAAUUUUGAGAUUUUUAAAUUUUUAAUUUUUAAUAAUAAAUUUAUUUUAAAAAAUAGGUGUGGAGAAAAAUUUGAUGGUUUCAAGCAAUUCCACCUAAUUUUAUAUUAUCAAUACACAAAUGAAAGUACACAAAUACCUCUAAUAGAGUGAAAUAAAGAGUUCUCUAAUCUCUAGGGUUUCUCAUUCCAAUUUUGAAAUUUCCCUACUUUAUUUUGAAUUAACCCUCUUUGUUACCAUUGAAUUGUAACAUUCAAAAUUUGAAUAUGUUUUUACAAAUAGAAGAUUAUUGGGACAAAAAUAAUAAGAAAUAGAAAACCUAGUUGAAAAAGGAUAUUACAAAAAAAGAAAAAAAAAUUCCCAUUACCAUUCAAACAUUUACACAGUAAAGGCAUUAACAGCAUAAGGCGGCAAUAAAACUUACUCAUAAUAACAAACAGAUAUAGAUAGAUGGAUGGAUGGCAUUUUUGAAAUUUACCUUAAAAACCAAAACAAAAGCAAAAAUAUUAAAAUAUUACACCAACUGCUAACUAAUUAAUCUAAUUAAACGCCUCGCUUAAUCAUUUCCAGUCCACUAAACACGCUGAUCGGAUUCCAGCCUCUGAAGUCUCAUCUCAUUGUUAAAUUUCUUGAUGAAAGCUUCAACUCGCCGAUUCAAUUCAUCUUGACUCAUCGAUUCCUCCCUCCUCAACGACGUCCUGUCACUGAACGUCUCAGAUUUCCUCAGCUCACGUUUCGCCCAAGCCGUCGGAUCAUUCUCAUCAUUAUCACUACCACCGGCGUCCGCGGAGGCGGCGGCAGCCGGAGAGAGCGCAUCCCACGUGUCACUCUUCUUCAGCUGUGGCUCCGCUCGCUUCCCUUGGCCUUCCGUUAUCAGCUUCCAUGUUUCCUCAAGACUGCCGUCAUUUUCGUCCUCUGUUUCCGUUUGAUUCUCGGGAAAAUCCUCCCCUUUUGAGGCUGUUUCUUGAGAUGGAAAUGUUCGUUUUUCGGUAACCGAAGUGGGUCUUUCUUCUUUUGCUUCGUCUUCAACGAUCAUGGCCGGUGCGGUGUUUUUCUUGAUGCCAAUAUGUUGCUGCUGCUGAGUUUUGUAUGUUUUGUUCAUUGGUUUGGUUAUGGUGUGAGCGUGAGUUUCAUCAGAUGGGUCGUUUUGGAUGUGGAAGGUGGAAUAAGCGGCGAUGGUGAUGAUGAUGAAGUUGACUAUGAUGUAAAUGUACGGCGGCGACAGCCAGAACCUCAAAGAAAUGAAGAGGCUAGGGAUUGUCGAUACCGUGAAACAAAUGUACGGGAUUAUUGCCACCUUAAACAGCAUGAAAGUUGAAACAAACCCGGCUGACAAAAAUAACAACUUUGCUGCCCGCGUUACUGUCUCUAAUCUGCUUGAUUUUGGGUCGAAAUUUUUAAAAAGAUCCCCCAUUUUUCAAUUUUCACACACAAUAAAGAAGGAAAAAGAAAGGUAGCUCGAUUUUUUUUGUUUUUCAACAAGGGAAAAAAUAAGAAAAGAACAUUAAAAGGAUUUUUCAGGCUUUGAUGGUCAUUAAAAAGAGACCCAGGAAGCCAUUGAAGCUAAAAAAAAAAACGAGAAGCCAUGUAUUUAUUUAUGCUGCUUUGCUUUACAAAAUCUGACUGGCAUCAGGGAAAAAAAAAAGUGCCAUUUGUUGGUACAGAGAGACAGAGGAGAGUAGAGAGGCACAGAGUUAAGGGACCAUUGAAUGGGCAAAGCGAGGUUUCAAUUUAUGUAACGAGGGACGAUUAAAGUUCUUGCAACUUUCCUGCCGUCUGAUGAAAUCUUGACCGUCCGAUGCUACAAUAAUGGUUAUAAUGAUCUUGAAAGUGUUGGAGAGAUAAGUUGUACAGAUUAAUGAACGCUAAAUAAAAUCACAUUUAAAAUGGUUUUUGAUUUUAUUCUAUUACAGAUUACUUUUAUUAAAUAAAUAAAUAAAUGAAGGUACAGUGAGUGAGUGAGUGAGUGAGUGAGUGAGUGACUUCACGAUUUUGCACCAACGCCGCUGUGUUAUCCUCCGCGGCGCUUGUCCUCAUCAUUUGUAAUUGAAAAGCUGAUUUAAGAUUUUAGAAUAGUGCCUUUUGGAAAAUAUAUAUAUAUAUAUCAACGGCCGUUUGAGAUUUCUUUUUUGAAGAUUUAAAAUUAAUUUUUUUAAAAAUUAAAAGUUAUUUUUAAUAUUUUAUAAUUUUCAAAAAAAUUAUUUUUAGUAAAAUCACUUCGUAGUAGAUUCCGGGAAGUAGAUAUCUAUGCUUUUUAAAUUUUAAUUUUAAGAAUUAAUUUUAUACUUACUNNNNNNNAGCAGAAAAAUAUUUAUUUUCAGUUAUUAUAUAUACAAAAUAAAAAUUAUUUUAUAUAUAUUAAAUAAAUUUUAUUCAAUAUUAUAUUAAUUUCAGUCAUUAAUAUUCUUACGGUAGUUUAAUUGUAACAUUUACUAAACAUAUAUGACUACUUUUAAAACUUAUAGUAUUUCUAAAAAUAAAUUUUACAGACAUUUAACUAAUUUUAUUCGUAACUGAUUAUUUCCAUAGCAAAGGCGAUAUAGUAUUAUUAAACUGGAACAUAGCUUUUGAUUUGUCUUUUCAAGCCUUUUAUAGUCAAAAUAGGUUUAAACAAAACAAAAAUUUCCUAUUACAUCUAUUAGGCUAAAACCUUCUUCACCAAUUACAUGCAUUUUUUAAAAUCUAUCAGGUACAAGUGUUAAAUUUUCAUUUGAUAUGACUACAAUGCGAUAUGAUAACUUAAAUUAUCAUCCUUAAAUCUUAUAACAAUAUCUUAGAAAAUUAUCUAAUUAUUUAAGUUAGCAUAUUUACUCUGAAAAAAAAAAGCAUCUUCUUCUAGAUAAUCAUGGUCAUAGUUUAACUUUUUUAAAACUAUAUUUUGGCUAAUUUAUAAAAUUAAAUAGAAAUAUACUAAAUAGUUUUUAGUCAAAUAAGUAAAUUUUGGACGUGAGAUAAAUAAUUUCCAACAAAUACCAUAAACCAAUUUUUUAAAGAAAAAUAAACACCUUUAUAGAAAGAAAUAAUUUACUUAAUCGUCAGAAGAAUAGAAAGGGAGAUUAAACGCUUAAAGUGACAAGUGCAAAACUAUUUAAAAAUAGUCAGUAAAAGUAUAGGUGGGCAAUCAGUUCAAUUCUAUUUGAAUCAACUAAAUUAAAUUAUAUCGUGUUUCAUAAACUUUUAAAGCAACUGAUUUUUUGUUUGGUUUAGAUUAAAAUUAAACUAAACCGAAAAAUCAAACGGUUCAAAGAAAAAAAAUUAAAAACAAAUUUUAUAAACUGAUUGGUUUCCCUUAGAUUCAAUUCCAAAUCUAAACAAACAAAUCAAAAAAAAAAAAAAAACCAAUCCAAAGUAAAAAUAAACUUUUUUGUUGAAUGCACUUUUAAUUUGUUUGGAUACGUCUCGACCCUCGAGUCUCUCGAUUAAAGUUAAUUUAUUAUUAUUGUUUUAUUUUAACCAUAUCCUCAAGCAAGGCCGAUACUCAAAAGAAACAGAAAUAAUGGCAGCGUUUGGUGAAGCUCUUUUUCCCAAAAUUUAAGCAAGAGAAUAUUUUAUUUUAUUUUAUUUAUUUAUUUAUGGCCAUUAUUUAUUAUUAUUUGUCGUUUGUCUGACCCCAGGAAACAGCUACGCUAUGCUACCAAGCUUCUGUUGCUCAAUAGUCAUUACAAUGGCUUAUUAAAAAAAAAAGAUCGGCCUCAACAUUGUAUGUAGAAAGUUGCGAGCAAAUCAGGAAUCCAGAAAAUGACAUUUAUUCAUUUUUGUUUGAACGUUUAUUGAGAUUAAUUAUUACUUACAGCUAAUAUAUAUCGUCUACAAGCUUCUACCAUGCAAAAAAAAUAACCCAUGUCUCUUUCUUGAAUCAUCCCUACAAUGAAUUCUUAGGUUAUAGGAGUUAGGCGUGUUUGAUGAUAAGGGGGAUAGUGUGGCCGGCACUAGCAUUCAUGUAUUAUUUGACCACUGUACUCUUGUUAUCAUAUCAUAUCAACUUGCAAUAAGAACAGGGACUUGCAACACAGCUAGCAGCCACGAACUUUAUUUAUCACAUGGUUAAUUAAUUUUUACCUUACUUCAUUAGAAAUGUUUAGACUAAUCUUAAUUACUAUUGCUAAGAUUCUUACUUACUUAUCAAAUUAAACUUUUGGGUCAAAUUAUUUUCUCUUAUAUGAUAUGAGAAUUAACAUCUCAAGUUCGUACAAACUUAUUACAAUGUUAGUUGAUGUUAUAAACAAGCUUUUUUUUUUUUUGGUCUGAAUCACGAGGUGGUUUAGAGUGAGCCCCAACUGUGGGAAAUACCUUUAAGUCCGUACCACAACCCAGACUAAUUCCCGCUCGCACCAAGUUGACCCGUAAUGAGUAAAGUGCUGGCCAAAGUGGUGACUCCAUACUAGAGCGGGGCUUGAAUCCCUGACCUCUCUUAAGGAGUGAGAAUGUCGAACUACUCACACCAACCAACUUUGGUUUAUAAACAAGCUUUUAAGCUAUCAUAAUUCAUACAAAGGAAAUUAUCAGUUAUAUAUCUUUAAAUGACACUCGUAUUAAACGUGUGUGAACAUUUUUCAAGUGUUUCACUCGUAUGCCCUAAGUUGACAAAACAUUUUUUCCGUCCAUCAAUCCGUUAACAUCGGUUUGCAAGCGUUGACAUCAUAAGGGUAAUCUAGUCUUUUAAUAUUGACGAAGCUUUGAUUAAAAAACGACAUGUCAUCCCAUUUACCUAGUAAAAAAUGACAUGUCAUAUGAUAUAUAUUGAUAAAAAUGACAUGUCAUCCUAUUUAUCGGAUAAUUAUUAAUAAUUGCUAAAAAAAAAAUUUUACAACCGAAUCUACUCUUCCAAAAUUUAACCUAAAUUUUUGAAGAUCUACUCCUCUAAGCUCCAAUUGAAAAUUUUUAUGGUAUAAUAUGUAUAAUUGUAAAUAAUAUAUUGUUAAUAAAUUUUUAUGGUAUAAUAUGAAUAUUUUUAAUGAAAAAUUGUUAAUAAUAUGUACCAUUAAUAAUUCAUUUUCUUAAUAAAAAAAUAAAAAAAUUGUGUAUUAAAAAUUUAUAUUAAUUUUUGGGAUAAAUUUAUCUUUUUAACUAAUUUUAAGUUUCAAGGACAAAAUAAUUAAUUUACCACAAUUUUAUUAACUUUCUAACGGAAGUUAACAGAUUGAUGUACGGCAGAAGUGUUUUGUUAACUUAGGAUAUACGAGUAAUAUACUUAAAAAAUAUUCACACAUAUUUAAUACGGAUAUCAUUUAAAAAUAUAUAACCAAUAAUUUUCCAUCAUACAAUUAAAACCCUAUUGAUUAAGUAUUAACGACCCGAGUCUUCAAAAACAUAAAAAUAAAAGCAAAUUAAGUACGAGAAAUUCUCGCAGCAGCAUGCUGUGAUUGUCCUUUCUGUCAAAGUCACAAGUCUUUUGUCAUUCAAAAUCAGCGUCGAAUCAUUUUGCUUGUUCUAGGGUUUAAAAGACAAACUCAAGCCAGUGAGGCACAGCAUAUCUCUCCGACUCUGCCAGGGGGCCCCUUUCCCCCACGUUCGCUUUCCGAAGGCAUUUACCAAUAAACCAUUCGUUGCUCCACGGGAUCAAGUGAAGGUAUUUUUGCACAAGCUUUGAAUUUUCUUCUUAAGUUAUUGUAGAAGAAUUAUGUUUUGAAUUUAUUUUAGCCACUGAAAUAAUAUAAUUGUUUAACAUCCUAAUUUUAUUAGUAAAAUUAAAAGAACAACACAGCUGUAACCCUUCAAUUUGAAUUUAGUGUUGUAAAUAGGAAGAUGGCUAGUUUUCUCAAUUGAAAUCAAUAUAUAACAUUUAUCUCUUAAUAUUUUCACCAUAGUCAAUAACCCAUCGGACAACAUAAUUUUAUAAUAUUAUCCUUAUUCUAGAUAUACUUUUAUUUACAUUUAUUAUUAAUUAAAUAAAUUAUAUAAACAUAAAUUAAAAAUAAAAAAAAAAUUACUGCUGUACCGUACAUCCGCCUUGGCCGUACAGGUAAAUAUAUUUUCUUUUAAUAAAUAUAUAUUUUAUAUUUUCAAAAUAAAAUAUUUAACAAAUGACUCAUUUACUCUUCUUUUUCUUUAAAUAUUUUAUGUUACGGAGUUAUUGUCUAUUAUGAAAUCAAUAAGAAUUAUGAAAAAUUUGUAGUAUUUGUAAUAGAGAUUAUCCAUUUCUCCCUAUACACACACACACACACACACACACACACACACACACACACACACACACACACACAACAAAAUUUUCAUUCUGCAUCACAUACCUAUGCUGCGUUUACUAAACUAGAAUCAGAAUGGGUAGGAAUGCGAAUGAGCUGGAAUGGGAAUACGGAAUGAGAAUCAAAAUAAGUCAUUUACUUGAACUGUAGGGAUCGAAAUCGGAAUGAGCUGGAUUGCCAUUAAUGUGUUUACUUUGUCUUGCAAUCGGAAUCAGAAUGAGUUAGAUUGUAACAAAUUACUAAAAAGUACUUAAUGGAUUAUUGUCAAAAUUAUUAUUAACUAAUAUAUUAAUUAAUUGUAAAAAUUUAUAAUUAAUUAACUGCUGUAGGGCCAAGGCGGAUGUNNNNNNNNNNNNNNNNNNNNNNNNNNNNNNNNNNNNNNNNNNNNNNNNNNNNNNNNNNNNNNNNNNNNNNNNNNNNNNNNNNNNNNNNNNNNNNNNNNNNNNNNNNNNNNNNNNNNNNNNNNNNNNGUAUAAUAGCAUAUUAAUUAAUUAACUAUAAUAAUAAUGAUAUGUUAAUUAUUGUGAUUAUUUAUUCAAGAACUACAAUUUUUAAUAAUUAUAGUUAAUAAUAUAUUUAUAUAUUAAUUAAUUAAUUAUAACAUUAUAUUAAUUAAUUAUAAAAUAUGACAAAAUUAGCAUUUUGGGAGGGUAAAAUGGUCAAUCUUAGGAAUGAGAAACUCAUUCCCACCUCCUCCAUGGGAAUCAAUCUCCCAUUCCCCAUUCUCCAUUCCUCAUUCUCAAAUAGUAGUAGACCCCAUCAUUUCGAUCCGAUUCUUGCUCCAUAUUUCUAAAGUAAACACAAUCAAUCAUUCUGAUUUUGAAUUUCGAUUCUUCAAUCCGUGAAGUAAACGUAUCACUAAUGUCUAAUACAACACAUGAAUUAUUUUAUUCUAUUUUAUUUUUUUCAAAAAGAUUUAAAGAGAGAGAAAAAUGAGACUCGGGACCCUAUUUCACUUCAUUAUUUUAUUUUUUUCAAACACCAUGAAAGAUUACGAGUACACAGUACAUGUACAGUAGCACGAACAAAAAGAAAAGGGUUAAAUCAAUUAAUCAAUCAUGAAAGAAGAAAAAAAAAAAAUUCCAGAGAGCACGUAGAUACGGACACAAAUAGAAGUCAGUUUCAUAGGGUAGAAGCCAAGCUAAGCCUAGAGCUAUAAUACUACAUGCAAAUUAAGCUAAUGUAUGCAUGUUUUCUGGCAGCAGAAACAGAAAAUGUCGCUGCCACUGGCUAGUAGCCAAAGUGGCGGUGAUAGUGGUGGGGUGCCACCAGUCGGCGCCUUGCCCUUGCCCUUUUUUGCUCAUCUUUUUUUUUUUUUUUUUUUUUUUUUUNNNNNNNNNNNNNNNNNNNNNNNNNNNNNNNNNNNNNNNNNNNNNNNNNNNNNNNNNNNNNNNNNNNNNNNNNNNNNNNNNNNNNNNNNNNNNNNNNNNNNNNNNNNNNNNNNNNNNNNNNNNNNNNNNNNNNNNNNNNNNNNNNNNNNNNNNNNNNNNNNNNNNNNNNNNNNNNNNNNNNNNNNNNNNNNNNNNNNNNNNNNNNNNNNNNNNNNNNNNNNNNNNNNNNNNNNNNNNNNNNNNNNNNNNNNNNNNNNNNNNNNNNNNNNNNNNNNNNNNNNNNNNNNNNNNNNNNNNNNNNNNNNNNNNNNNNNNNNNNNNNNNNNNNNNNNNNNNNNNNNNNNNNNNNNNNNNNNNNNNNNNNNNNNNNNNNNNNNNNNNNNNNNNNNNNNNNNNNNNNNNNNNNNNNNNNNNNNNNNNNNNNNNNNNNNNNNNNNNNNNNNNNNNNNNNNNNNNNNNNNNNNNNNNNNNNNNNNNNNNNNNNNNNNNNNNNNNNNNNNNNNNNNNNNNNNNNNNNNNNNNNNNNNNNNNNNNNNNNNCAUCUUUUUUUUUUUUUUUUUUUUUUUCCCGGAAAGUUUUUUUUAACACUCGGUUGCUUAUUCAGGAAAUGUCACAUUGAAAUUUUGAAACUUCCCCGAUCCAAUCAGUCAAGUGUCAUUUUUAUUGGUCCCAAUCAGUAGGGCACGGUCUCCAUUUCCAGCACUAAGCAUGCUUGGUGUUUGUGAUCAUUUGAUGGACGGUUCAUGCUUUGCUGCUAAGCCAAGCUAGUUGCAUUUUUCCACCCCCCGUAUAAUUUCAAUCAUACCAAAACACUUUUACAUCUAGUGUCAUUUCUUCAAUAAGUUUUUAAUUUUUGUUGAUAAGGACAUAUUUAAGGCUAGAGUUGAGAGGUUGUAUCGAUGAAUUUGCAGCAAAACCGUGAACAACUUUUGAGAAUUAUUGUAUAUAAAAAAGAUAAAUUUCAUUCUUUUUAAUUCAUGAUCACAAGUUCUCAAUUUGAUACAAGUACUUAAAAGCAUAAAAAUAAAAUAAUAUAAUUAACGUAAUUCAAGAAUAAUAAUUGAUUAGUAAAGAUUGAGUCUGUAAAUUUUUAUGUUGAUCGGCAAUCAAUCUUUCUUAAUCAAUAAUUAAGAUAAAAACAAUCAAUCAUCUUAUUUAUUAUUUUGUUUCCAUCAAUACUGUUUAAUUUUUAUCAUGUUAUUAGAUAUUUGGAGGAAAAGGGAAAAAGGGAAAAAAAAUCUAAUAACAAUCUUUGACAUUUUUUUCGCCUUAUGUCUUGUUGUUUUAAUUUUCUACUUUAAUUAGCAGCUAAUUGAUUGUCUCUGUAGUAAAUAAUUAUGAGAAAGUACAAUGCUUUUGUUUCAAAGUCUUGGAUCCAAAACAGAACGUCAAAAUCUCCCUUAUGUGGUCAGUCUUACUCUUAAAAUAAACCCACUUAUUUAUUUUGGUUUAGUUUCUUGAAUAUGCAAUCAAAAUUUAGUCCAUUUUAUAUACUGAUUUUGUUCUCAUUAGUGAAUCUUUAUUCUUCUUCUUUUGACUAAUAAAUUUCCCACUUACGACGACAGAUCGUGGUGUUGCUUGUAGAAUUUUAAGCCAAUGAACUUAUUUAAUUAAAGAACAAAUUCAAUUCAACUCAGCGAAGGGAUUAGGUGCAUAAAAAAAUUAUGACACUUCUGUUGAUAUUCUUCCAUUUAAAAAAAAAUAAUAUUCUUUUAUUUAAACAACGAUGGUUUAUUUUUCAAAUCAAUUAUUGCUAUGGAAACUUCCAUUCCCUAGUGUAUAGUUUACUUAUAUACAUUCUUUAUACAUCCUUGUCUUGUAAUUCAAACACAUCGUUUUGUUAAUUGUUAGCAUUUUCGAAAAGUUUGCUAUAUGUUAUGUUUAUUAUAGUGUGAAGGGGCGACCACGGUGGGUUUUGGAAAUUUGUGUCCAUGAAACCCUAAUAAAAAUUAAAGGAUAACAUAUAAAAAAAAAAAGAUAAUGUAAAAGAGGAUUAGUUACAACUUGACCUUAAUUUUGAAGUUCAUUUAGAGGGAAUCAAAUGAGCAAAAGCUUCGGUCUUCAUCUCAAUAAAACAUGAGAUGUGGACAAUGCUAUUAAGAAAUCAAAAUGAACUUUCCCUCCCAAUGAAUUAUGUGUACCAAUCAAAGUGUGUGCACAUGACUUUGUCUUGUUAAUUGAUUAAUUAUAAAGACACCUUUGAUUUUGUUAUGAUUGAUAACUACAUGCAUGAUUGAUUGAUAUUUUUCUAAAUAUCAAUCCAACGUAUGUGUUGAUCACCUCACUGCAAAAUUUUAUUUACUUAUCCAGGAAAAUAAAGUCCAUAGAUUUAAGGAUCAAUUUUCCUCAAACUAAUCUUAAUGAGGUUGAGAAAUAUUUAAUCUCAAUUUCAAUUAUUUCACAACGUAUUAUUUUUUAACUUCUCUAAUUUCAUAAUAUGAGAGUUAUUAUUUUUUUUUAUUAUUUAUAACAAAUUUUAGAGGUUUUUAUCAUUUUAUUGGGAUGUCAGAUUCAAGUGUCGUGAUUUUAUUUUUUAUUUUAUUUUAGUCAUUAUUUUAAUUUAUCCUCCAAAUAAAAUGAUAUUCUUCAAUUGACCUUUAAAAUAAUAUGAAAACUUCAAUUUACUCCUAUUUAUGAUGAAGAACAAAAAGAAGAAAAAAAAGUCAUCAAUGCACUCUCCAUUUAGGGAUGGUAAUUUUUCCCGAUAGGAUGGGAUCCUGCGGGAUCCCAUCCCAUUUGGGACGGAAUUUGGACAUAUUUUUGUCUCAUAAAAAAAUUUAGGGAUGGGAGUGAGAUAUUUUUUUAUUCCAAUUACAUAUGCGGGACGAGAGUGGGAUUGACAAAUUCUGUCCCAUUCCAUCUCAUUGCCGAUUAAAAAUGAAAAUUUUACCAAUUGGGAUGGGAUCCCGCAGGAUUCCAUCUCUUUUGGGACGGGAUUGAGAUAUAUUUUUGUCCCAAAAAAAAUAUAAGGACGGAACUAGGACAUUUUUUCAUCCCAUUGGCAUAUACGGGAUAGGUUUGGGAUUGGUAAAUCCCAUCCCAUCAUGUCCCAUUGCCAACCCUAUCUCCAUUUGCUAUCAUAUUCUGAACAAAUAAGGAGAUAAAUGAAAAUAUUCAUAUUUUUAUAGGGUAAAUUGAAGAUUAUUAGUAUAUUUGGGGAUGAAUUCAAGUUUACCUAAUAAAAAUAACUUGGGUUUGCUUUCAUCUUCAGACUAACCAUGAAUGAGUUAAUACUUGGUAGUCUUUAACGGAAAGCAUGAAAGCUAAAAGUUAAGAGAAUGAAAUUAUAUCUAAAAGAAUCGAGGAGAGGAAGAAGGAAAGUGGAAGAAAAAUUAACCAAAAAAAAAAAAAAGUUGAGAUGUCAUCUCAAGUAGAUAUUAAUAAUAGCAGCAUUAUUGACUUAUUGUGAAUUUGCUUCUACAUUUGGAGGCAAAUGGGUCAAGCCCAUUAAAACUGGACAAAUCAACAAACAUUCACUCAAUUCAGCAUCUUCUUAGAAAUUAGUAAAAAAAGAAAAAAAAAAAGACAAUAUAUUAAUACAGUAUACAAAUUUAUCUAGAGCCCUAUGAUGAGGUGUCCUAAACAUUAACUCUUAAUUAAAAUAUAUUCUGGCAAAAUUAUUUAUUCAUCGAGUCACUAACACCCAUUGUCUUAUUUUUUAAGUUUAGAGUUCUGAGUUUUUUUUUUUCGUAUUGUGGAUGUUGAUUUUUUUUAAAAGAUUACAAGUAGAUUUAGUCCAUCCCGAAUGUAAAUAUUUAGAUUUUUUAUAAUGGAGCUAACGAAAAAAGAUUUAGCAUAAUUCGAUUGGAAAUAAUUGUAUAUUAAUUGUAAUGUAAUUAAGAAAAAAAAACAAUUCUUUUUACUCAAACUUUUGUUGAUAAGAUAUGAACUAUGUAGACUUCACUUUAUAGUCUAGAAAGAGUUGGAUAUUUAAAAACUAAUCAGUGAUUUGCAAUGAUAGCUAGUUUGAUAGUGCAAUUUUAUAGUGGAAUUAAAGGAAUAGAUUCUAUGAUGGAACCCGUACCAAAAGGAAAGUAAGGGAGCUACCUACAAGUGACUUCUUUAAAGAGCUAUGCAUAAGCGUCCAAAUUUUAUUGGAUUUAUGUUUGGUCCUUUUCAGUUUUUAUUUUUUAUUUUUAAUUAGUCGUUGCAUUAUAAUCUAUGAAUUGAAAACACAUUGUUCGGUUGGUGCUUGGUUGGCACUUAAGAAAUUUUAAAUAAAAAGAGAUGGGAAGAAUGGUGCCAAAGCAAAGCACAAAUUAAAAAAAAAAUGAAUAAAAAAGGAGAGAAUCCCUAUGAAUUUGGCAUUAUAAACAAGAGGAAAAAGGUUAGGUACAACUUGUAUUUGGUCUUGGUCAUCAUCUUUAUUUAUUUAUUUAUAUAUUUAUUUUGAGAUGAUCAUAAUUAUUUAUGCAUAAAUCAAUAAAGCAUACCAAUAGGUAUCAUUAUUUUUAAAUCAAGUAUCCAUUCUUCAUUUUAUGUGCACAUGCAUUGCUGGGUUGGUGAUCAAUUGGAGAGUUUAGGCCCUAGUACUUGCGAUGGGUACGGUUUGAUUUGGGUUAUCUACUUGAGAUUUAAACUCAAACACCUCCUAGUGAAGCCGCCAAGUGGCUUUUAUAGUUUCUUUAUUUGUCUAAUCAUCUCAGUUACAAUCUUUAAAAAUAAUAAUAAUAAUAAGUUAAAAUUAUAUUUGGACUUUGUUCACACGUUUUCUAAUUUCUCGAGAUUCAAAUUUUUAACUUAAUUGAAAAGUAAAAGUGUAAUAUUUUUAUACAACAACUAAUCAAUUUAUAGUUCAUAGGCUUAUAACUCAAUUUGUACAGAAGAGUUUCUACAAUUAUUUGCAACUAUAUCAUUAAUUUUUUUAGAAAUUCGAUUUUAGGGGGCAAUUAAGGCUUAUUUGAAAUUACUUUUGGGAGGCUUAAAACUAAUUUUGAAAAGUUGAAUUUAAUCUUGAUAUUUAGUAAGAGAUUUUAGAAAUCACUUUUGAUAAAGUUACCCAUUCUGUUGCAAAAUUAAAAAAGCAGUGAAUGAGUAGUUUUUAAAAUUUGAUUUUGAGCAUCAGUUUUAUAUAUAAUAUAAUUUCAUAUAUAUUCUCAUAUAUAUUAUAAAAAUCUAAAUUUAUCUUUAUUAAUUUAGAAAUAAAUUCAUUAACUUCAAGAUAGUAUUAUUACUACUAGUUAUAUUGAGAUACCAAAAUAAAAAAUAAAAUUAAUAAUAUAAGACAUUUAUUUUAGUUAUCAAUUAUUAUAUAUUCAAAAUAAAAAAAAUAUUUUCUAUACAUAUUUAUAAAUGUGCUAAUAAAUUUUAUUGACAUUAUGUACAAUUCAAUUAUAUAUAUUAGGGGUGUUCGCGGAUCGGAUUUUACGGAUUAGACAUCAAUCCAUAUCUGAUCCAUGAUUUUGCGGAUUAUAAUUUUUCAAUCUAAUCCAAUCCACGGAUUGAUAAAAUUCAAUCCAAAUCCAAUCCAUACAUCUGCGGAUCGGAUGCGGAUUUGACUCAAUCCAUAUCCAAUCCAUACAUAUGUGGAUCGGAUGCGGAUUUGACUCAAUCUAUAUGCAAUCCACCAUUUUGCGCAUUAGUUUUCGAAUUAAAAAUUUUUAGUUCUCUCCAACUAAUGAAAUAAAAAAAUCUAAUAUAAAAAUAAUUUUGUUACCAAUUAAAUUUAAAAUUGAAUAAAAUUUAAAUAAAUUAAUUGUUUAAAUAAAGCUAAAAUAAUAUAUUUAAAGUUUCAAAAUAUAACACAUCGAGACUAAUUAUUCAAAUAAAGCUACAAUAAUACGUUCAUAGUUUCAAAAUAUAACACACCAAGCUUAAUUGUUCAAAUAAAGUUACAAUAAUACGUUAAUAUAACACCGAAAUUAAUUGUUCAAAUAAAGCCACAAUUAAUUGAAAUGGCGAAGUUUCGGAAACCAAACACAGUCUGAUCCUUCACCAAGACUGUUGCACCUGUCGAAAAGUGAUGAUUACAGAGCCAUCCACGAUGGGAACCAGGAGAAGCCAUUCGGGUGGCGAUCUUGAAGGUUGUGAUAGUGAAAUUGUUCAGCUAGAACCAGUAAAUGUGAAGUGGCUCGAUGGACUUGGGAAGAAGAUGGCUUGCUCUCGCUGGAAUCGCGUGGCCGAUAUCCUUUAAAUUCGUGUCGAGAGUGUAUCCUAUUAACAUGAAUAUUUCUUUAUUAUUGAUUUUGAUGAUAACAAACUUGAUUAAGAUAGAUUAAUCUUUAAACAGCUCAAAAUAGUUUUCAUAUACUUUUUCAUCAUUUUCACUUUAUAAAGGCUUUAUAUUCUAUGAAAAUGUUUUUGGCUAUUCUCAUAUUAAUGGUUUCAAUUGAAAAAGCUUUGAGAAUUUUGAUAAUAACAAGUAUUGCUCAAAAUCCUAGAAAUGUACCUUUUUGACAAAGUUUUAUAAAGUUUUAGGUCAUAGUAUAGUUUUAUAAAGUUUUGGGACCAAACUGUAAUUUUGCAAAAUAGAUCACUGUAGCAGUUACUGUAGAAAACGACGAUCCGACAUCUUGAUAACGGCUCGCCUACAUCAAGCAGAAUUGAAGAUUAGUCUCUGGACACUAACGGCGAUCCGACUUCUAGAAAACGGCGAUCUGAUAAUUUAAAAAUUCAGCCCAACGGUCAUAUUGACCAGUCAAACAGCGAUCCGACAGUGAGCAGAAAGUCAAUAACGGCUAGUUUUAAGCUCCAACUAUAAAUAAGCUCAUUCAAAUUCAAACAAGAUUAGAUCACAACACGACCAUUGAGCUUAUAUUCGAGAAUACAAUCUUCAUAGAGCUUUAAAACACAUUAUUGCUUCAUCUAUUCACACAUUGGACAUUGAUUUGUAAUCUUAAAUAUUGUGUGAGAGAAAAUUUGUAAUCUUUUACUUUGAGUGAUUGUAAGUGUUGGGAUACACUUGGGUUAAGAGAUUGGGGAUAAUCUCUUGUUGUAAAGGUUCAUUGACACCUUGGAAGUCAAGUGUAAGCAUUUGAAGCCUUGGAGGCUUGCUUAGUGAAAUCCUCAAGCCCGGAAAACUUGGAAGCGUGGACGUAGGCGAGGUUGGCCGAACCACGUAAAAAUCUUCGUGUUUGAAUCUCUUUUCCCUUAUCUUUUUAUAUUGUAAUUAAUUUAAUUGUUAUUCCAUUAAAUUCAUUUUAGAUUUGCAUGAUAAUUUGUUUUAGAAUCAAAUAAUUUUUAGAAUCCCAAUUCACCCCCUCUCUUGGGUUGCACACUUGUAUUUCAUAUCCAACCAGUAUUGAGUGUUGCUCGUGUAUGUGACAGCAGGGAGAUUAGGGUUUUUUGUUUGCAAAUUGUUGGUGACUUGAUGUUAUGUUACUUUGCUUUUGCUAGUGCGUGUGACUUUGCUUUUAUUUUGUUUUACAAUUUUUACAAGUUAUAUUUGGAUAUUUGAUUAUUUAAUUAUUUUUUAUUUUAUAUUAUUAUUGGGUAAUGGGUAAGACAUGUUAUAGUGCUUAGUAACUAUGCAAUGUCAUAUUUAUAAUUUUUUAAUUAAAUUUAUAAUAAUUUUUUAAUUAUAAUAUAUAUAUAUAUAUUUUGCGGAUUCACGAAUUUCUGCGGAUUUAUAGAAGUAAAUCCAUAUCCAAUCCAUCGACUGCGAAUUUUGAAAUUUUCAAUCCAUAUCCAAUCCACCAAUCCACGGAUCGGAUUUAUACGGAUCGGAUUCAGCGGAUCGGACGGAUUCAGCGGAUUGGAUUGGAUUCUGAACACCCCUAAUAUAUAUUCUUAACGUAGUUUAACAAUAAGAUUUACCAAAACACACACGAAUACUUUUAAAACUCAUGGUAUUUUUAAAAAAUGAAUUUUACUAAAUAUUUAACUUAUUUUUUUUCACAACUAAUUAUUUUUACAGUACAACUAAUAACAAUUAUCGUAAAGGUACAAUAUUACUAAAUUUGGCCCUAAGUGGCACCAAAAAGCAACUUACAUAUAAAGAAGAAAGCAGAUGGAACGGGAAAAACACUUUUUGUGGUUUUAUAGCUGACUAUUUUGAAAGAAAUUGAUCUUUAUAAAAUUUCUUAAAAUCUUGAUUAGUAAUGUUUUAUUGUGAUAUUCAUUUGUUAAAUCACGUAAAUGAUAAAAUAAUCUGAUGAGCGAUAGUACGUUCCAAAUGGGUGUCAUUUAUGUUGAAGAUCAACAUUAAAAAAUAUAAAACCAAAAGUAAAAACAAAGCGCUCUUAAAUUAUAAAAAGAGGACAAAAUUUUUAUCUUUUUAUUUUUUCCUUUUUUAUAGUGAUAAAGUAGGGAACAACAACAUUUUAGCAGAGAGGUUGAGGAAAGUGGAUUUUUAAUUUUCUAUUAUGAAUAUAAAGUAUUAAAAUGCAAAAACAAUAUUUCCUAUGCUAUAUGCAUUGGCAUGGACUUAUAAAUUUUGGGAGUAGUUCGAUUAGAGGUACCAAAAAAGGAAAAGCAUAUUGGAAUGGAAUGGGAAAGCCAUUUUUGUGGUUUUAAUGGCUGGCUAUCUUGAAAGUGACAUCCAUCAAAUUCAAAAGCGUGAGUAUUUUGUUUAACUCUUUAUCUUUUAAAAAUUAUUACCUUAAAUAGUAAUGUUGCUAAAUGUGAUACUCAUUUGAUUGUUUCACGUAAAUGAUACAAUAAUGUGAUAAGUGAUGUUACAUUUCAAAUGGGUAUUGGGCGUCAAAUUACGUAAGAUGUUGAUUUAGCUAUAAAUCAAAGUCUUAUAACUUAUUUCUCUGGUAAGAAAGUUAUGAUUGAUCUAUCUGGCAUCGCUUGAUAUGAUAUCAAGUUAAUUUUUUCAUAUUAUAGACAAAGAAGUGAAGAACCAACUCAUUUGUACAUAUAUUAUCCCUUCAUCAAGUUUAUUAUGUACUUCUAAAUUUUAUGGAUUAGACCAAAGUCAUUUACCAUACAUGAUUACAACCUGGUCAUGGUUUGAGCUCAAACUUGUAAAGAUCUUUCGUUAUGUAUUUAAAAACAGAACUGCUUUACUUCUUGUUAGAAGAUUCAACCCAAAUCACUUGAUAUUUUAAAAUAAAAUGUCUAAAUUCAUUCCAGGAGUAAGAAAUAUUAGUAGGGACUUGGUACUUGGAUCUAAGCAAAAUCCAACUUGCUCAAAAUGGUUGUUUUAUAAUUUAAAUGAAGAAGAAAUAAAAAUGAUUUUAAAAACUUGACUUUAAUACCAUGUUGAGCAAAUGGCCUUCCAAUGAUAUUUAUGUUAAAUGGAAACCAAAUUCAUAAUUUUGAAGUGUGUAUUCAUCAUUUAUGUCUAAACCCAACCAAACAAAAAAAAAAAAAACCCCAACAGGAAUAUAUGCAAGCACUCUGCUUCAACAAUAAAUCCAUGCAGGCACCCAAAAAUAAAAUUUAAAUUUUACUCAACAGUGCAAGCUAUAUAUAUGACUGAUGUGCUCAACAAAGAAUGAUGAUCUUGUAUGAUAGAAAUGUAUAAAAGUAAAAGAAAUUUUUUUUUUUCUUAAAUAUUGUUCCAUGGUAGGGAUUGGGGAUUUCUCCUUUGCUCUAUACUUCAAAAUCAAGAACUCUUAAACCAAAAUUUCACUGAUACAAGAGCUUUCCAUGAUGUUUAAGGAUAUGAAAAAUGUCACCAAUCUUUGUUGAUUUGUACUUGCAGUCCACUUCAAUCUGUGAAAUCGUGACUUCUAUUCCAACUUCUAGUUGAAUGAAUGUAUCCAUUCAAUUGUUCCUGCAAGGUCAGAUUCCAUUUGAAAUUCAGAAACACCACAUAUCAUGAAAAAUGCCGUACCCUUUAUGGCCAGUUACCUAAUUAAAUGGUGCCUAAAGUUCAGAAUUUUAACUCCGAAGCUGAAUAUUGUAUCGUAUAAGAAGAUUGAACCCAUAUUUUAGUCAAUAAUUAAAAGAAUCCGAUACCAUGGUCCGAGCUAAUGGUGAUUUGGACAAGAAUGCCAUUGUCACUACUUACAUUCGAGGUGAUUUUUCAUUUUAUCAGUAUAAACUACCAUGCAAAUUUUAUGGAACUUGAAUUGGAUAACGGCAAUGUUCUCCUGGUUUCAUUUAAAAAAAAAAAAUCAAAUGAAGCAUGUAUAGUAUGAAGUUUGUGUCUUACAGUCAAAAGUUGCCCAACGUGAAGGAGGUGCAAUAGUAUAUUCUUGUUGCACAUUGUUGACAUAAAGCAAAGUGUAAAGGUCAGUAGUCCCAUUUUUAUUGUUGGUGGGUACUUGUACUUCUGCCACCGAUGGUGGAACCCUGGGUGGAAUUGGAGCAGCAGCCUUCUCAUUCAUAUCAAGAGAACCCUGCAUAGAGAAUGUUCAUCUAGUUAACAAAGCAGCAAUGUUCAUAAAAGGAUACAAAACAUAUAAGCAAUACAUUGAGGGAAUAUCCAAUCAUGAUGAGCAGCUUCCUAGCACUUUGUCCUCGACUGACUUGCGACAACGAUGUAAUGAAGUUUCUUCACAUACCAUGAUGAAACAUCCAGCAAUUGCUUCAUUAGUGAAAAAAUAUAAACUAUUGGCAAGCAGAACCAUUGUCAUUACCCCACGAGACCUUCCAACUGUUGGAGGAGGAGCUAUUUGAGCAAUAUGUUUUGUAAGAAUUUCUUCCUCGAGAGAGAGUGUCCUUGUUUUUCUUGGAAUACCUCUUUUGAGACCUUCUAGAAACUUGCUAACGUUGUUGUUGAUUUGAACGGCUUUUGUAGUUGGUUGUGUUGCUCCCUUUUGAACCCAUUUUCUCUCCUCAUACCUAUAAAUUAACCCACAAAAUAUCAAUCAGAAGAAGAUGAUCAUACCCAAUCCUAUCUUCAAGUUCAUAUGGUAGAUAAUUUACUUGGUACGGAUAAAUUUCUCGAUCCUACUCCUGUCAAAAUUUGGUGGCAGUUCUGCUUCCCAGAACUUGUUCGACUUCUCAUUACCCAUAGCUAUCAACAAAUGAGCAAUUUGAAAAUAAGAUUACCAUGCAACAACUCCUUAAAUGGCCAACACACUUAAAGAAAUACUUUCAAAUACGAGUAGGCAAUGCUCAGUCAAAAUUUUCAAAUAGCAAGCAUCUUUCUUGGAUCAGAAGGUAAAAACCAAUCCAACAGUAUCUAUUCAAUUCUUUAAAAUAUGAUCUCCUACGUAGAUAACUAUUAGUCGUUAGAUGCAUGAAACCAUGCAUAUAUUGGCAGAUAACUGAUAUGGUUUGCUGCAUUUAUUCUGGAGAAUCUGCCAUUUCUUAAAAUAUACUCUUGUAUGGAUCAGAGGAGUUUGAUCAUGUUGUGUAAUAAGUUCUUUGUAUUUUCACUCACAUUAAAUCACUAGCAAAAUAUUCUUACACUGCAUAAAAGCAACCUGCUCCGGGAGCCACGUAUCCAAAGUAGUAGACCGGACCUAUUUCCAAAAUCACAAAAUCAGUAUUAGUGAUAACAGGAAAGAGAGUAUUGAACCCAAUAGAGUUGUAACUCAAACUGGUGGCAUAUCAAGGAACAAAUGGAAAAAUUUUGUGAGUAUAUUGAAUUAAAAAAACAUAUAAUACCCACAACUCCAUUUUUUUUGUACCUAAUUUACAUUUGCUGAAUGAAGCAAAUCAUGCGAAGAGGACCAAGAGUUACAUAAGCAAAUAAGAAACAGGGCUGACAAAGGAACUUUUGAUAAACAAGUAUUCUUAUGUGUUUAGUUCAUUGUUUGAAAUCCUUUUUCCAGUUACAACAAAGUAAAGUUUUACAGCCUAAAGUACAAAGAUAUUGGCAUACAGCCUGUACUUUGCUGAAAACAGCAGGGAGCUGGAAAAAUUGAAUACAUAACAGAUUGUGGAGUGCAAAGAAUAUUUUAAAUCCAUCUCAUCAUGGAUCAACGAUAGACAAUAUUUCAGGAAAGUGGCCAAAAAGUUGGAAGUCAAAACUAAUUAUAUAGGAACUCCAUUUUCGAUAACCAAGAAUCAAGUCUGUGCAGAGCUUACUCCUACACAUAGUGGAUAUGAACCUAAUGUUUCUAUCAUGUUCAGUUUAAUCCAAUGAAACUAAUAAAAGUUUGAUGACAAUGUUCUCAAGAUGAUAAUUGAAGGCAAUGCUAGAAGUAUUUAAUAAAAUUUGAUGCUAUGCAAAAAUAAAAUAAACAACAGUACACACGGUAUACCUUUGAAAUAUGCACUCCAAGACUCCGAUGGAUUCCUGAACACUGCAUGCAUAUAAAUAUUCCGAGGUUCACACUUGCCCAUCGUGGUGCCCUGAAAUGAAUACAUUUCUAUGAUAAAACACUACAAUAUCAGAUGAUUUCUUCUUUUAACCGAGUAUCUAACUGCUCAGAACAACAAAUUUAAAACUCAAACCAAAACUUCCAACUGUAAGCGUAUACUUGCACUGUAAAAAUGAAGAGCACAGUGUUAAUUAAGAGAUAGGUAAGAAAAUGAUAUUUUCAUGCCAACAAAAAUAACUUUGGAUCUAAUGAUCUCGGUAUAACGUGGAGUGAGAAAUUUUGAGUAGUGCUCUGUACAAGUAUUUUCCUUUUUCUCACUAUGGCUCCUCUUGUACUACCACAUAUACAUAACAGAGUCAGAACAGCUGAGAUGUGAUAUUUAGCAUCAAGGUGAAUAGACUUAGUUAACAGGGCAAUUGUAAUCCCAAACAAAGAGUGACAAAACAACAUUGCAGAUCCAACAAUUAAACGUUAUUAGCUGAAUUGAUACAAGAUAUUGGCCGGAAAGCAAUUAAAUGUUUCUCAGAUGUUCACCCCCAGUCUUAUGUUUCAGAGAAAUACUAACUUGUUUAAGACUAUACUAUGUAUAAGAGACAACAAAAGUCUGCAAAUCCAUCAUAACAUAAACAUCAGAAAUUAAGUACCCCCAAAGAUAAUACAGAUUAGCAACGGAGAAACUGUAAUAUUAUUGGAAAUAUCAGAAGAGGGUUUCUGAAAUGCAUACUUGCUCCCACAAUCCGCACAUUCCCUGUUUUCUGGUAGCUUAAGAAGUCCCUCUAAAAUCUGCAUAAAACAGUGACCAAACAAGGAUUAGUAUAGCUUAACUCCUCUUAGUACUCCCCCUUAUGUUCCCUUUUCCCCUUUAAUAGGUAGUUAUAACCAAGUUAAGAAUGUGUGCGGAAAGCCACAGUUCAACGGCACGCGGGGUAUCAAAUAUUGUCCAGUUUCUAUCUCAUCUUGCAAUAUUUAUAGACCGAUAAUGGCUUAGCAAAUGCUAUAGGGUAUCUAAAUAUUGGAUGAAUCAUCAAACCAAUAUACAUUUGCAUAACUUUUAGUUAACUGCAUAAUGCAAAAAUUUAAGCUUAUUUUUCAAGCCCCUUUUAAAAUAUUUUGAGGUGUUUCCCAAAUAUUGCAAUUUUUCAUAUGGUUGUACAAGCAGCACUUGCAAUCAAAAGGACGUUUCAUGCCAUAUAUGAGUUAUGGGGUUUCAGCAAAACCAAAAUCAAUUGCAAAGAUUUAUUCUUAAUUAAUCAAUGGAAAUUGCAUUUGGGUUCACAGCAAAUAUCUAAAACAAUUAAAAAAGAAAAAAAAAAAAGAAAAUUCAGCAAAGACUACGAUUGAAUCAGACCUUGGAAUGCUUGGCAUCGAGCUCUUUGGAAACGGAGGCCUUGCCGUUGCCGUUCAUCUUAGCCUCCGAUGCCCAAGCUUCCAAUUUGAAAUGAAAAAUAAAAAAUGAAAAUAAAAAUUAAGAAAAAAAUCUGAAAUUGAUAAUCAGAUGGAAACAGGAGGAGGGUCGCAACUCUCUCUGUCUAUUUGUAGUUUUAUGUGGCGGAACUGAUUCAAAGGAAAUGAGAAAAAAAAAUUUAAAAAAAUAAAAAAACCGUUAAAAUAAAGCUAAAAUUAGGCGGGGUAUUUAUUUUGUUUUGUAUGUAUUUAUAUUCCUCUCAGGUCACGCGACACCUCAUCAACUUACCCUCUUUCUUUUUGUUUGUUAUUAGUUAUUGUUGUUAUAUUCUGGCGGGAAAUUCCAACUGAAUGCUUCAAUCUUACCAUAGUUUUUAUUUUUAUAAAUUUUAAAUUAGUCCUUAUAUUUGAAUUAUUCUCUUAAUUUUCAGAAUUGAAUCGCAAGUAACCUCUUUUUUGUUAAAAAAAAAAAAUAAAGAGAAAAAUAAGAAUUAGUUGAUAAUUUUUUUGAUUUUCUUAAUAAAAAUAGGAGGUAAAUUAAUAUUUUAAAAAAUAAGAGAAGUAAUUAAAAGAUAGUCAAUUUUUUUUUUGAAUUACAUGAGACUAUUACUCAAAUUACAUCAGAUUACAUGAGAUUAGUACACUGAUAUUUAUAAUAAGAUAAUUAUUGGGACUAAUUUACAAAUCUUAUAUAACACAGCCCAUAUUUUUACAUCCUCUCUAAAAUUCGAGGGACGUCCACUCACAUUUUUAAAGGGAGAAAACUGCCUUCACUCAAAUUGAAAAAGGAAAAUAAACCCCCAUAAUUUGUUGCGGGAACUCGAACCCAUGACCUCAUAAUUGUGAGGUAUGAGUUCUAACCACUAAGAUAAAGCUUAGUGGUUCAAAGAUUGACAAUUUAUGAGAGAAUAAUUCGAAAUUAAUCCUUUUAUUUUUCAUUUUAUUUUUAUAUAAUCCGCUGCCUGCCAGAGUGCCAGUCAUUUCUUCCACCUUUUCUACAUUCAAAUCUCAUCAUUGCACCAACUGAUUUGGGGAGGUGGAGGAGGAGGGGGAGGAGGAGGAUAUCUGUCAGUGGCGACAAGUUCUUGAGGAUAUUAAUAAUUAAUUUCACCAUAUACAUGUCUGUAAAACUGUAAAUUCUUUCUUAAAUGCCACUACUUAAAUUAUCUUGGGAGCAUAUGCACAUGAAUGGGAAGGCCAUCAUCGUGACAACAUAUGAAUGAUUAUUUGAUUAGGGCACGAGAUUACAUCUAUUCCGUGAUUCAACAAGCAUAAGCCUGUGAAUAUAAGCCAGGGGCCAAAUCUAGCUAUAUCUGAAACUAGAAACUAACAUAUAUGAUACACUUGCAGAGAAAAGUAAGACAUUGAGAUGCAAGCAGACCUGCAUAACAUUCUUCGAUUGAAAAAAAAAAAAAAAUUCCUGCCAAAGUUCAGUUUAUUGUCAAUAAACAAAGGCGAUGACAGAGACAAUAUCAGUGAGAAGAUGCAGGCAUUAUUUACCCAUCUGUUUGUCAGAUUUAGGCUUUGGCAAUGUUGGUGGAGUCAGAAGCCAUCUCCAGGAAUCGGCAUGCUGUAAAAUUGGAAAAUCAUUAGUUGCCUGCUCCAUGAAGCAGGCAGGCAUUCGUGAUUGUUAAAAAGUUUUCAAGUGGUAUAAAAAGAUUUAUUUCUUCAAAAGCUUAUUCUGGAUCUAAACAUCUGUGGAUAAACUCAAAAAAGUAUUCAUGAAUCACAACUCCUGAAUUAUAUAAUUCCAAAUCGAAUACUCAAGUAACCCACAAGUAAUGACCACUCAGAUCUUCAAAAGUCAUCUGGAAGUUGCACGACUGUAACAAGUGUCAAAUACCAAUAGAAGUAUGGAGAAAGAAAGUGAAUAUGCCAAAUCAGAGUUCGUGCACCCAUCAUGAUGGAACCAUGCUUUUUGCUGCCAAAUGCAUUAUCAAUAAGCCAUUUAAUUAUAUAACAAGGCAAUCCCUAAGUUACGUCAAACGUAACUUACAACCAGCCAAUUUCAUGCAUUGGAGUGAAAUCCAAUGGUUGAGAAACUGAAUUAGGGUCUAAGUUAUAUAAAUGAAUUUUAGCAAGACUCAUAUAACAAAGAGUAAUGAUACAGCCACAAACUCUUGUACAAACUUAUUUUGUACAAACUGACAUGGCAUUAAUUCAUUGGUUGAAUGAAAAUAUAAAUUAAUAAAAACAAAUCAUGUAGGCCAAGUGGUAUUUAAUUCAACCAAUCUUAUCAUGCCACAUCAGUUUGUACAAAAUAAGUUUGUACAAGAGUUUGUGGCUGUAUCAUUACUCUAUAACAAAAGCAACUGAGAAACUUAUUUCCAUAACCGAAUAUACUCUGACUUAUUUCAGAAUCAAAGUGAUGUUUGGCACAUCAAUAACACAAGCAGAUCAAAUCAAUCUAUCAUGAUAAAACAGGUCUCCCAAAAAAAUUGAUUUUCGAAAAAAAUUAUCAUCAUACACAUGUAUUGUUAAUGACUUAGAAGGAAAAACAAGGUGAAGUCGAGUAAUAAAACAAAGGCCAAGAACAUCAUCAAUAGCAAGAUCGGAUUUGAUUCAAGUUGAGGCACAUAAAGAGGGAGAGGGAAAUUUCAACCAAUGUAGAGACAUGAUUGAUUGCUCGCAAUUUUGAACAAAAUGGCCUCGGACUAGUUGAAUAGUAAUCUGGGUCAUCAACAUAUACCCUCUCUCAAGCCACAUGAAUUGAAGGUUAUGUUCACUUAGAAUAAACAUUUGUAAGUGUAGUAUGAAGAACAACAAAAAUACAUCUUGAAUAUAUAACCUCAGCCAAACAAUUAAGCAUUAGUCAUAAGAAGCAAUCUCUGCCAUUCAGCUCAUGUACAUGUGAUCACUAACAGUAAACCAUAGGCCACCAUUACGUACAAUUUCCCACAGAAUCGAAGCAAAGUCAUUUACACAUUUGUCUUGCUCUGCUGUUUUAUUAUUCUUCCCCUGGAAUGAAAGAGGAAAAUCACCUUCAUCUUUUGCUUAAUUAGCCUCCAAUUUGAAUCAAAUCACUUGUGCUUACUACAUAAUGCAUUGCCCUUAAAGAAAUUCACCCCAACAACCUAGGCUAAAAUACCAUCUGAAUAACCCCAACUACUGGAAAAUAAUUAUCAGACUAAAAAUACACUUGCCACUAUGAUUUCAAAGAGUACAAAUAAAUAUAUCAAUAGGAAGACAACAAGCAGUUCCCAAACUGCAAUUUUACAAAACACUCAUGUGCUUCACGGAUAUUGCAUAAUUUUAGCCACAAAAACUAAAAUAAAAGCCAAAACUUCCUCACAAGAUCCUUGAUUGAAAAAAAAAAAGAAUGAUACUUAAAUUAAAUGGAAACAACCAAUCAAAGCUUAUAGUCGAUAACAGUGUGAAAGAAAGUGUCUGAUUUUUUUUUUUUAAAUAAUGAUAACAGAAUAAGCUCAUUUCCACAAUUUCAUUGAAGCUAUCUGACAAGUAACAAACAGCUAAUCACUUAAAUUAAGACAACAAAUAACCAAUUAUGCAAACGUAAAAGCUGAUAAUAAAAGCCCAAUUUUCAAGUUCAGCUAAAUAAUCACUACUUAUAAAUAGCUAAAAUUUUAAAAAUACAAUUAAUAAAUAAAAAAAAACUACUUGAGGGCAGCUUCUUGAGGGGUUUUUGCGACGAUAGAGAGGGCGUGCAAUCCGGAGUUGAGUUCAUCAGAUAAAACCUGAUAGACCAUUCUGUGGCGGUUGACGAGGUUCUUCCCUUCGAAUUUCGGCGACACGAUCUUCAAGUCGAAAUGAGUUUCCCCGGAAUUCGAAUCCUUCACGGCGGCGUGGCCCGCGUGCUUGUGCGACACGUCGUCGAUUUCUAGUACGGUCGCUUCUAACGCCGAUCUCAACUUCGUUUCCAUUCUCAUUGCCCUCGUUAUCACUGCGUUCGCUCCUCGCGAAGCCAUUUCGAUGCUGAUUCUGAUUCCCAAACCCUGAAUCACAAAUUUGGGUGAGACUUGAUGAAGAACUUGAGAGUGACUAAUAAAAUAAACAAUAAAAUCAACCAAUUCUUAGCUUGAAAUUUUAUCCACCCGACGUCGUUUCAAUGAAGCUUGGAAAACAAAAUUAAAACUAAAAAUUUAGAAAACGAUGAGAAAGAAAAAGGGGCCCGC